UGAGUACCUCGUGGGAUGACUGGAUCAAGGACUGCGAGGCCAAAGCAUCGCACACCACGAUCCACAGCAAGCCCAAGUCAAAGAUGCUCAACUCUGGAUUGCUGUCACCUGAAGGAGCAAAUCAAGAGCGAGCCUUGCAGAACCUCUGGGUGUCCCACCCAGCUCCUGGCAUCGAUGAUGGUGUCGUUUACUUGCUGGCCAGAGUCAGAUUCCAGGACCCGAAGGCAUUCGUUAUCGCUCUUGACGCCAGGAAGAAUGUUCUGCUAGGCUCAGCUGAGUUCGCGACUGAGAAGAAACGCGGUGAUGGCGUCAUGUAUUUCCCAAGUAACAUCUCAAAGUACAUCGCCCCAGAGGCUAGGGUUCUUCCUAUUACCACAGGUACUGCUCUAAUUAAGUAUUGCAGCUGCAAAUUAAACCCUGCUCCAAGAUAUGGGAGUGGGUCUACAAAGAUGAGCUCUAAAUUAAUGAGAAUACCUGAUCACUGAACCAUGGCCUGUGUCAGUCCACUGCAUAUUUCAGUUAGCUUGCAUUGAUUCGAUAUGCCCAUAUUUUCCUUUUUGAGUUUUUUCACCUGCUUGGCUGUUGAUAAUUAUCCGCUGUAAUUAGUCACUUUGAUUUCUAUUGCAAUUAUAGAUUUGGGGAAAAACGGGUAGAAACAUAGCUAGGAUCAUCUCAUCAGCCGUGCGGUUAGUGGGGGGAUUGGGUGUUGGUGGAGUUAAAACCUGCCCGUCGCACUUUGCCUAACGGGCGAAAUCCUUCACCCUGCACCCACGGGUGGUUUUUUGAACCCGUACCCAUCCCGGUGAGGUUUGAGUUGGAUUAGCAUCCCUGUUAGUUAGAACAGAUAGAGCACCUUGCAUUUCAAACACACAUGGGUGAAACCACAGCACCGUACCAGCACUUGCAGGGUGGAAUUUUACACCUGCAAGCAUGGGCUGUAGUUGUCUGUUGUUACAAAAUGGGGCAUUUAAAGUUUUUCCAUUUUAUUAUAACAAAUGAAUAGGCGACCAGAGUUUUACUAGCAAAUUUUAUGGGGAAGGUAAGGCAUAAGCAUCAAGUAUGAAACUAUUUACCAGGGAGGCCGGUUCGUUCAUCCUAUUCUGAUAUUCAGGACCAAGAGAUCCUGGAUUCUCUUUCGGAUAGGCCCCGAAUGGAGGGGAACUAAUUAAAAAUAUUUGAUUUUUCUCACUGGAUGCUGUCACAUGUGUUGAAGAUGGAUGGGAGGAGUCAAGCCUGCACGAAGGCACUGAAAAUGUAGAGAUUCCUAGUUUACCAAUCUACUUCCCUGGCUACGGGUUUGAAUGAUGAUAAGUGCUCGAGUUGUUCAGAUCAUCUCAUGUCGUUUGUGACCUGAGUACAUAUGUGCUACAGGUCUUGACAGUACUUGUGCCCUGUUUGUUUAUCUAGCUACAUACUCCAUUAAGCUGUGUGCUGGUUGGCAAUCUAGAUUAUCGGUGGUUUGGAUUAUUUAGUUUUGAUGAAUGAUUAUUAUCUGCAGUGCCCUUGCUUAUACCGCUGCUUGCUGUGCUACAGCUUAGCUUCUCACUGCUUGGUGCUGCCGUUCAAUGCUCGCUGUGCUUGCUACUGCACGCCGUUCAAGUAAUCGUACAUUAGUACUUGUGGCACGGAGAAUUCUAUGGUGUUUUAGAUUAAAAAAAAGUGGCAAGCGACGACAUUAAUUAGUACUUGUGUCCUUGUAUCUAUGCAUUGCUGUACCUUUGCUUUUUAAUAUAAUACAAAAUAAUGUCUCAUUGGCACCUGGACAUACUUUUUCUGGUAAAAAUGUGUAAUAGUAAACACCAAGCUAGCAAAUGUCGAAGGGAUGCUCGUAUUUUUUCGAUUAAUUGUUUUUACAGUGUUAAUUUCUGUUGAUAGUUGACUCCAUUAAUCUUGGGUGUGUAAAAAGUAGCAGAAGAAGAACCGGGAGUUUUGGUAAAGAAGAAAGGAAUGCUGAGGUUUUUGGCCCAGGUCAGCUAUCGUGACCGGGCCACGAAACAGCCCACAUAAAAUAGGCUACGGCAUGCGGCCCGCCUGCUAAAAUUUUGCACGGACAGCCGACGGCCCGCCAAAAGUCACGCGACCGGGACCGGAGCGCCCACUGUCUUUCUACACCGUUUCCCGCCGUUCGCCGGUCAAACUGGUCAGAGUCAGAGCCGCUGGUAGUAUUCGGACCCAGUACAACUCCGCUCGCGUCGGCGAAAAUCCAUGGGCCACGGCACGACGGAACAGCGAGGAGCGCCGGCGUUUAAGUUCCAUCUCGACGACAAAGAACCCAACCCGAUCGCCUCACGCGAUCCUGCUCUCACCGUAGCGCGCCGCUGGUCGCUAACAAUGUCCAUGAGCAAGCUCGCCGCCGCCGGCGACGGCUGGGCCGACCUCCCUCGCGACCUCCUCGAGUCCGUCCUCGCCCGCCUCCCCGUGCCGGACCGUCUCCGCUUCCCCGCCGUCUGCACCGCGUGGCAGUCGGCCGCCGCCACCGGCGCCUCCGGAAGCAACGCGCCGUUGUCGCCGUGGCUCAUGCUCCCCUUCAACCCGACCGCGCGCGGGCGCCCGCGGCGUGGCGGCGGCGGCGACGCCAGGCUCCUGAGCCUGGCGGAGGGCAGGGCCUACGCCAUCCGGCACGGCCGUCUCCGAGCACGUCUGCGUCGGCUCGUCGCCCGACGGGUGGCUCAUCACCGCCGACGCCAGCUCGGAGCUGCAUCUCUUGAACCCAGUCACCGGCGCGCAGGUCCAGCUGCCGUCCGUCGCCACGCUCCCGUUCGUCGACGCCACCCGCGGCGCGGACGGUUGUGUGGAAAGCUACAGCCUCCGGCGCUGCUUCGCUGACGACGACUGCGACGACGAGGUGCUGAUCCCGCCGGAGACGCUCGCGCCCGACAGGCUCCGGUACGAGGUCUACGAGAAGGCCAUCGUCGUGUCCGCGACGCGGCGGCUGCCUCGCCGUCGGGGGAGACAUGGGGCGGCUACGCCUUGGUGCUCAUCUGCCAGCCCCUGUCCCGUGUCGCCGUCGCCCGAGCAGGGGACGCGGGAUGGACCCAGCUCGACACGCCCGCGCGCUGCUGGGUCGACGCCGUGCGCGCGGCCGGAGCCGACGGGGUGGUUUACGCGAUGGACACCGCGGGGCGCGUCGAGGCAUGGGACAUGGACGCGACGCCGGCGCCGGCGCCAUCUCGGGCGGCGAUCGCGCCGCCGUGCCGCUGCUCUGCGCGCGCGUGCGCCAUGUUUGCGGUGUGUCGCAGGUACCCCAUGGAGCUCGCGCCCAAGUCAAGAGUAUGGCCAAGUCCCUAUGCAGGCAAGUGCUAGCCAUUGUGAAGUCAUUUUAUUCAAAAGUCGAUCUGUCCAUGGUUGCCGAUGGCAUGGCUGGAGAUUGUACCGAUGAUGCGUACAUCCAAUAUCAAGAGGAGUUGGAGCCGGUGGCCGAGAGAGUUGCAGAGUUUGUUGAUCUUGAGUAAUCAUGGUUUGCUGCCUUUUUUUGUAACUUAUUGGUAAACUCGAUGUACCUGAACAAGUGUCUUUUGUUUGAGGUGUUGAUCAUCAUAUAUGCGAUGAGUACUAGCUUGUCGGUUUACAAUGAGUAGUCUUGUGGGUAGUCAUUGAGGUGGCGGUAGUCUGCAUCGUGGACCCCAAUUAUUGCAGUUAUUUGUAGAGGACGUGCAUGUGAGUAAUGUGUCCUUUGCAUUAUUGCUUUGUACUGGUGAGGACCCACGGGAGUACUAUGCAAGAUUUAUUGUUUGUAGCCAGAGUUAACCAUAUGUGAGCUUUGAUUCCGCGCAGAUAGGCUUUCACGUGAAAGUUAUCAUUGCUUAGGACAAGUCGAAUUACUGUGUAGUCACGGUGCGCUAUGUUGCCUAGUCUUUCGGUUUAUAAAUAGAGCCCCAGCUGCCGUUGCGGAAACAUGGAUCCGAUUAUAGCAAUGGUUGGCUUUAGGUCGCUUCUCUUUGACAGUAGCAAGUUUCCAAUGAGCGCCCUGGUUCUAGAAGUUUACUCGUAGUGAGGUUCCACAUUCCUUCCACAAAUCUUCGCGCUAGAAAAGAUUGCUCUGAUGCUAGAAGAAUCCUCAUAGGAGGAUUUCCCGUGUGCUCCAUCUUUUCCCCUGCUCUCUGGUAAUAACCAUGCUGGAGCUCGCAAGUGAAGGAUGAUGAGCUUCAUGGUCUUUAUCCAGUUUUCUGGCCGAGGAUGGAAGCGUGGUGCCGACUGCUCACUUCCUCUGCAACGUCUCGGGAUGAGACUCAAGUGCACGAUGUGUGCUUGAAGUCCAGUUCCGAGUAUUUGUAGAGGGGAAGGGGUGUUGAUGAAGGGUAGCGGGACUGGAGUACGUGGAGCCCCAGUCUCUGUCUAUGCCACCGCCGAGGGGAGGAGAAGGGCACAACUGCCUAGUGGGCAGCUUCCUUGCUUGCACUUCCCGCCUCUUGGCAUUUCUUGCUCCUGAUCUUCGAGUAGUCGCUAGGCUCAAGUGUAUCCUUGUGAUAUAAUAAAAGCCUGGGACUUCUAUUGUGAUUGCAAGUUGUCGGGAAUACACCCCAGGCCCACGAGUAGACCUUGGACAGCCCACUAAGGGACGUACUCGGACACGAUCAGAAUAAGGAUAGGCGCAUCCUACUCGGACUAGUCAAGUAUGUUUAUGGAAAACUACUCGGGCCUUACCGAGUAGAACUCUGUAAUAAUACCCGACUAGGACUCAGACUUGUAACCCUGCCCUACCGUGUAUAUAAGGGCGGGCAGGGACCCCUCUCAACAACAACUCCAGUUCAUCAAUACAAACCAACACACAAGACGUAGGGUAUUACGUGAUCUAGCGGCCCGCACCUGUCUAAAUCGUGUUCCUUGCGUCACCAUUGAUUCCUUGAUUCUUGAUGAUCCUUACCGCACAAAAGACCUCCUAGGGUACCCCCUAGGCGGGUUGUCAGUCUAAAACACCGACAGCUGGCGUGCCAGGUAGGGGGAACUCGUCGAGUUUCUAAGCGCGAACUCAAUGGCAAAGGUCAUCAUCAGGCCCGUUUUCUUCAUCGAAGCCGGCGCCACCUUCAUUUUCGGAUCCUGGUUUUGCGUCGCUGACGGCUCGGGUUUGUUCCAGCGCUAGAUCGUCGACGUUCAGGAGAAGAAACCAGGAAAUAUGAUCAGAAAAAAUCAAAAUUUCAAAAUCGACGAGUUGGAGUUCGACUAAGCGUCGGAUUCGACUUCGCCUCGGACUAGUCGGUCCCAGCCAGUGUCCAAGUCGGUUUCGACUUCAAAGCGGUUCCCGCACGGACUCCACAACGCAACCAAAGUUCAGCAAGGCUUUCUUACUCGAACCCUAUUUGAACUCGGGCAUGACAAAGACGUCGACUCCGACUCGUCUUAUUCGCUAGAGAUACCAUUAUCUGGUCCAGCCCAAGGAUUGGUAAUAACUUCAACAUCACAAGGCAGAUUCGUCCACUGGCCGGGAUUGCGACCAUCUCUUCUUGACCGCGACUACGACUCGCGCCUUGUCGCCCAUGUAGACAAUCUCCCAUAUCAAGAAGGCAUUCCACUCACGUCCAACCACGAGGAAAGCUCUACAGAGAUCGCAACGUCAAGCUCCGGAAGCUACUACCUGGACAGGGAGAUACUUGUUAUUACUCAGAAUAACAACCCGGGUACUAGCCAGAACAGAACCCCCAGGAGAUUAGCACAACUCGACAACAUCUCCGAAGAUGAGUCUACAGCUGACGCCCCUCACGAUGAAACCUCCGAGCAACAUAACCAAAGAAGGACGUGCAACGCUACUCGAGCCGAGCGACGACAGUCGAUGGCUACAAAUAUUCCCAUUACAAAUCUUGAAAGGGCUUUCAACGCAGUUGUAACACCUUCCAUUUUAGUCAUUAAGGUAACUCUGAAGAAAUAGAAGCAAUUCAUGAAGAAAAGGAGAAGAAAUUGGCUAAAAAUCAAAUUCGGGUCAAAUUUGACCGAAAUUUGAAUUUUGAAUUCAAAAUUCAGAAAAAUUUGGCAAAAAUGUGGAAUGGAAGUGUAAGGGUGAUUAGAACUUGAAGAUCAAGCUUUGGGACAAGAUCUGGUCCUAAAUGCCUCAAGAAAAAUCAAAGAAAGAAAUUAAAAACCGAAGUUACUAUUCACCAUCCGACAAUAGAAGUUCAGAAAAACAGCAGCAGAGUCCAUUUUGGAAAUUAAUUUCCGACCAAUUUUCCAAAUAAGUGAACCAAGACAACUAUACCAUAUUAAAGUAUGGAUUUUGGACAAGUAUCUUCAGGUGUUGUUGAUCAAGAAUAGUUGAGGGAACCAUUUCAAAUGGAGGCCCCAAAGUCAGCACCUUGUCACGGUAGACUGCACUACUGAAUUUGACUAAGUCUGAAACAGCAAUAUGUAGCCAAGUUUGGAGCCGAUUUCAGAGAAAUGUGGAGUAAAAGGUGUAAGUGUUUAUGGGCAAAAUGGAAUCCUUGGAUGUUGUAGAACACAAAUGGGGAGUAGUUGGACUAAAAGGAAGGGAUUUGGACCACUGAAAUGGUUUACAAAGUCGGGUGAAUGACCACCUCGAAUGACUGACGAACUAAAUGGGAAGAACAGAAGGGUUCAGUUACUUGCCAGAGAAAAACUUAAAUUUGAAAACUUUUGGAUGCUUAUCUCGGGCAAAGGUUUAAAUAUGAAUUGUAGAGCUCAAGUUUAUCUACAACUUUGUUUAAGUGACUUGUGAACCGUCGGAUUCGAAAUCAGCCGUGGUGGAGCUCUAAAUUUCGGGCGUCAGAAAUAAAGAGGGGGAGAGUGACAGAGCCGAGCUCGACGUGUCGCCGCCGGCGUUCUCGGUCGCCCACCAGCGCGGCAGCUACGCCACCUCCUCACCACGCAAGCCUACGAGUAGACCACGGUGUCGCCCAUGCGUGCAGUAAGUCUUUCAUAUAUCUACCGCUCCUGCGCCGCCCCUUUUACCGCCGUUCCUUUUUACCGCCGCCGCUCUCUCUGUCAAGCCAUCGCAGCCGACCAAAUUCCGUUGCCACGCCUCACCUCCCGUCAAUUCCUCUCGCCCACUCCCCCACAGAUACCCCAGCUACACCCCAGUCGAGUUGUUGUCCAACAUCCUUGCCGGAAUACCCUACACCGCCGUCGUUUCCGUCCGCCGUCGCCGCACCUCCUGCUCACGGUGAGCACCUCCUUGCUCUUGUUCUCUUUCUUCAUAGGUAGUCGUAGGCGGGUCCUUGGGGUGCUUGAAAGCUGUAGAGGGAGUCGUCGGGAUAAGCUAAGCCGUCGUUGUGCUUAGCCACGACCGGCCAUAGGCGCCGCCGCCCGCCGCCGUGGAGGGAGUAGCUCCGGCCGUCUCCCGGGAAGCUGUCACCGUGCACGGGUGCGCUAGGGCAUGGGGAUGCUUUCCCGGCCUAGCCCCGUCGCCGGUAGGGCGUCGGCCGGCAAGCCGCGCCGCCCCCUAUUGCGCUCAGGAUUUUGGCGGGAGGAGGAAGAAGGCACUGGAGUCGCGGGCCCGCGCGUCAGGAAGAAGAAGAGAAGGAGGAGGCAGGCCGGGUGACGGUUUAGGUGGGCCGCGAGUCCAAGUUGGCCCAAGUGCCAGCGCGAGAGAGGGGCCGGUGGGAGAAACGGUCGGAGGCCCAGGAGAGAAGCAGGUCGGUCUCGCGGGGGAAGAGAAGAAGGAGAGAUGGGCCAUGGGCCAGUGCCGGUCUGGGAAAGGAAUAAGAAAAAGAAAAAUGGCCUAGGGAGCCCAUCAGAGGAAAGGGUAGGCCGACGGGUGAGAUGAAUAGGAGAAGGGGUGGGUCCGAGCCGCGGGUCCAGUGUAAGAGAGAGGGGGUAGAGUAGAGUCGCGUGAGAAAAGUAGCCGGGGGUGUUUUUCGGGAAAAGAUAGAUUUCUUUUAUAGAAUAAUUAGUUUAAAUCCGAAUCUCACCAUUUAAAUCCCAGAAAUUUCUAGGAGUGUCCAAAAUUAGUGAAACCAAUUUUGUUAGGCUUAUGUUAUUUUCCUUUAUGCAUUAAAAUUUUUAUACCCUAGAAAAAUAAUAAAAAUUUGGGUAUUUAUUUAAUGCCUUUCUUUUAAGGUAUUUAAUAAAUGCUUAAUCUUUAUUAAAUGCAUAAAAUAUGAAAUAACCUUUUCAUAAUUAAAAAUUAUUAUUAACUCAUAGGAAAUUAGAUUUUAAGACUAGAAAUAAUUAUAACAUUUUCUAAAAAUAAAAGAAAAAGGCCCUAAGUAAGGUUAGUUAAGGAAAUAAAAUUGUGGGCUAAUCUUUUCAGGUUUUUGUGUGUUGGCUUGCAACUUUAUCAUGAUAAAUUGAAUAGUCCUUGUUGGCUUGCAACUUUAUCAUGAAGGAAAGUUGUAUAGUCUUGUAUUCAAAAAGUUGCAUUCCUAACCCCUGCAUAUGUUGUGUUAUAGACACCGAAGCACCAGAAGGAGAUUUCUCGGAAUAUUCAGAAGGAUCUUCGGAAUUUGAGGAAGUCUUUGAAUUGGUCCCCUACGAGGCCAACCCUUCAGACAGUGCUAACUUUUUUAGCGAACAAGGCAAGCCCUGGUGCAUUAUACCUAUUAUUUUGGAGUCAAUAUUUCAUGUGUCCAAUUAUCGGUUAUCUGCUAUAUGUAUGCACUAAGUCUAGGAGUUGCUUGAAACCCAUUCUUGUGCAUUAUCAUACCUUAUUUUAAGGACAUCUUUGCCACUUGUUCAAACCUUUAGAAAAUAACCCAAGUCUAGAAUUGCUUAGUUGCUCAAACACUUGCUUUACCAAACCUUAAGGUAAAUAUUGAGUCAUGCAUGUUAAUUAUGGAAAGAUAACUUGGAAGUCAAGAAGCGGACAGAAGCUAGGGAUGUAGUUCUGUCUGCUAGAUUAAUCUGGUUAAGGCCCGAUUCAUUGUCUUAACCUUUGAUCAAGUGAAAGACAUCUGAUCACUUACUGGGUAUGGGACCAGCAAAGCCCAGUAGAUUAGUAAACCCUCUGAUCGGGAAUUCCUCAUACCCGCGCUUGACGUGCUGGAGAUUGGCAGGGGCGUAGCCUGAAACUCACAUGGUGAUCGGGCCAGACGUGGGGUCCCAUGUGGGGGUGCGUCUGUUGGGACUACUCCCCGGACCCACGAGUAGGCCUUGGGUGGCCCACUAUGGGACGUACUCGGAUGUGAUCAGAACAAGGAUGGGCGUAUCCUACUCGGACUAGUCUUGUAUGUUUAUGGAAAACUACUCGGACGAUACCGAGUAGAACUCUGUAAUAGUACCCGACUAGGACUCAGACUUGUAACCCUGCCCUCCCGGGUAUAUAAGGCCGGGCAGGGACCUCCCUCAAAACAGAUCCUUCAGGACCAGAACACACAUCAAUACAAACCAACACACAGGACGUAGGGUAUUACGCGAUCUAGCGGCCCGAACGUGUCUAAAUCGUGUUCCCUACGUCACCAUUGAUUCCUUGAUUCUCGACGACCCUUACCGCAUAAAAGACCACCUAGGGUACCCCUAGGCAGGUUGCCGGUCUAAAACACCGACAGCUGGCGCGUCAGGUAGGGGAACUCGUCGAGUUUCUCAGCGAGAACUCAAUGGCAAAAGUCAUCAUCAGGCCCAUCUUCUUCAUCGAAGCCGGCGCCACCUUCGUUUUCGGAUCCUGGCUCUGCGUCGCCGAAGGCUCAGGAUCGUUCCGACGCCAGAUCGUCGACUCUCAGGAGAAGAAACCAGAAGAAGUAACCAGGAAAAAUCAAGAUUUCAAAGUCAACAAGCCCAAGUUCGACUACACGUAGGACUCGAUUUCGCCUCGGACUACUCCAACGUCUCGCUCAAGGGUUGGGCUCCGCCGACCCCAGGCCCUGGAGUCGGGCGAGGCAAAGCCACCCUUCCGCAGGGUCGGGCUUCGCCGACCCCAGGCCUCGGGGUCGGGCGAGGCGGAGCCACCCUUCCGCAGGGUCGGGCUUCGCCGACCCCAGGCCUCGGGGUCGGGCGAGGCGGAGCUACCCUCCCACAGGGUCAGGAUCUCCCGACCCUAGGACUUGGGGUCGGGCGAGGCGGAGCUACUCCCUCACGGGGUCGGGCUUGGCCGACCCCUGGACUCAGGGUCGGACUCGCUUCGGAUUCGUCGACCCCAGUCAGCAUCCAAAUCAGUUUCGAUUUCAAAGUGGUUCCCGCACGGACUUCGCAACACGACAAAAGUUUAUAAAGAUUCUCUUGCUCGAACCCGAGUCAAACUCGGGUACGAUGAGGACGUUGACUCCGACUCACCCUACUCUCCAGAAAUACCAUUAUGCGGUCCAGCUCAAGGGUUGGUAAUAACUUCGACGCCACAAGGCAGAUUCGUCCAUUGGCCGGGAUUGCGACCAUCUUUUCUUGACCGUGACUACGACUCGUGCCUCAUCGCCCAUAUAGACAACUUGCCAUAUCAGGAAGGCGUUCCACUUACAUCCAGCCAUGAAGGAAGCUACACAGAGAUUGCUACAUCAAGUUCCGGAAGCUACUACCCGGACAGGGAGAUACUUGUUAUUACUCCAGUUAACAACCCGGGAACUAGCCAGAAUAGAACCCCCGGGCGACUAGCACAAGUCAACAACAUCUCUGACGAUGAAUCUACAGCCGACAAUGAAACUCCUGAACAGCGCAAGCAACGAAGGGCGCGCAAUACUACUCGAGCUGAGCGUCGAUAGUCAAUGGCUACAAAUAUCCCUAUUACAAAUCUUGAACGGGCUUUCAACGCAGUGCAGGCUCAGGAGCACAACACUCGACUCGCGGCUAUCGCUUCCAUCAACAUUUUGACGACAUUGAUGCCUCAAGAUAAUGAUAACGCAGCCACAGCUCAACUCAUGCAGCGUGGCAACGGACUAAUUGCACAACUCGCGGAGCAAGCCUACAAGCUGCUUGACAAAGAAUCACCAAUCCUGUCCGUUCCCUGCAUUACAGAAGGAAGCAGGGGGGCUGCAGAUAAAAAUGUUGCUCCGCGAAACAACGAUGUAGUCAACCAGCCUCGGCAACACAGCCAAGGUCCAAGCAAGCAUAAAGUUCCUACUCAACAGAAGGAUGUAGGUGAAGCCAGCUGCACCAACUCGGUUAAAAGUGUUCGCCCUACUCGCAAGAACCGCGAGAUGUCCAACAUCAGCGAUCUACGAGAAAUCCUUAACAGUCGGCGUGAACGGGAAGUCGACAGCUACAACCACUUUCCUGCUUUCACAAACCGGGUAAUGAAAACAAAAUUACCCGAAAAGUUCAAACCGACCGGCAUUACCAAGUACGAUGGCAAGCAAGAUCCAAUUCAAUGGCUACGCUGUUUAUUCUGAAUCUUUCUAUUCUGAAUUCAGUUAACGAUGAGAUUUAGUAUCUUUUCUUGCACUUUCAUAACUCGUGAAAUGCCGAGUAGGCACGAAUUCCCCCAAUUUGCGACCUACCAUAGGAUUUGUUAUGUAAAUAGGUAUAUGUUCCCUUCCAUUAUGAAUCGCGAUUGUAUGGCCAACCAUUGCGAGAGGCGAACUCUGUAAUUCCCCUCCUGCAAAAGUGAUAGCGGCUGUAGCAUCCGUGUGGAAGAGGGUAAGCUUUCAGCAACACCUUUUUCAGAUUGGCUCAUCAUCUUUGGUUUCUUACUUGUUCCAAUAGAUAUAUACCAGAGGCUCGUGGUUACUCGCUAGCCGUCCAAGCAGCCGGAGGCAACAACGACACCAAAGUCAUUCAUUUUCCCAUAUGCAUGGAACCCGCACCACUGACCUGGCUCGAGUCACUCAAACCCAAGUCCAUCGACUCUUGGGCAGACUUGACAAAAGCUUUUACCAACAAUUUCGCCGGCUCCAUGGCUAGACCAGGAAACAAGAUUGACUUGCAACAAAUUAAGCAGAGAGAGGGCGAAACCUUGCGCGACUAUCUACGACAGUUCUUCGAAAAGAAGGCUACCAUAGUAGACAUCUCCGAAGCGGACGUCAUCGAGUGUUUCCAAAACGGACUCUACGAUCGACGAACAUACCAAGACUUCGGUUGCCGACGGCCGGCCGAUGUCAAAGAACUCAAGCUCAUGGUGCAACAGUGGGCCGAUGAAGAAGACAAAGAACGCGAACGGUUCGGUUCCCACCGUAACCGCGGACGCGACAACAGCCACAACAAUGAUACAGAUAAACCUCGUCAUAACGAUGCUCGGAAUUCCUAUCCAGGUAAUCAUAAUCACAAAAGGAAGCCUGACAACACUGUUGCAGCAAUGACCAACUCCGGGAAAAAAGGACAGCGCCGAAACGACGAUGGACCAAACCUUCACGGAGCUACUCAAAAAGCAGUGCCCAUGUCACCCGACCAGCAAGCACUCCACACUGGACUGUUACAGCAUGCGCCGAGUUAUGCAAGAUUUACCAGCACCACCAACUCCUGAAGAGUACGCCAAAAACAGAGACAAGGGUAAAAACAAAGCCCGCAACGAUGAAGAUGAAGAUGGCGAUUUCCAACCAGCUUCAAAAACCGUCAACGUUAUUUUUGGAGGCAUCCCUGGCACAGCAUCCAAGCGGGCCAACAAACUCGUACUCAGGGAGAUCAUGGCCAUCGAACCGACGGACCCCACACCGCUAAAGUGGUCGGAAGUUCCAAUAUCUUUCAGCAGAAAAGAUCAAUGGACAAAAUUUUCAGAACCCGACCGUUUUCCACUAGUCUUGGAUCCGGUCGUGGCAGGUUCCAAGUUAACAAAAGUACUCAUCGACGGCGGGAGCGGUCUCAACGUUAUCUUCACCAAAACAUUAAGGAAAAUGUGCCUCGACGUCACGGGCAUGCUCACUCCAACGUAUUCCCCUUUCUACGGCAUUGUGCCUGGAAACGCGGCCAUACCAUUGGGGCAAGUUGUCCUCCCAGUCACCUUCGGAACUAAAGAACAUUACCACACUGAGUACAUCAGAUUCGAGGUCGCCAACUUCGAGACUUCUUAUCACGCCAUACUCGGACGGCCGGCACUAGCCAAGUUUAUGGCCAUACCACAUUAUGUCUACCUGGUACUCAAGAUGCCAGGUCCCAAAGGUGAGGUCACGCUAUGAGGAGAUCUCCAGAGAUCCUACGAGUGUGACACCGAAGCCGUGGAAAUUGCUGCGACUACUCAAUCUCCUAGUCCCAUGCAACAAGUCUUCACCGCUUCAAAGAAACUCCAUCCAACUGAACUCGAGAUCCCCAAAAACAAGUCGGGCUCCACAAAGGUGAAACCCGCCAGUGAGCAAGACUUCAAAUCGAUCAACCUCCAGACCGGAGAUCCUUCCAAGACAGUCCUGAUCGGAACAAGGCUAGAUCCUAAAUAGGAACUCGCGCUCGUCAGUUUCCUUCGGGCUAACCACGAUAUCUUCGCUUGGAAACCGGCCGACAUGCCAGGUGUGCCCAAGGAACUGAUCGAGCAUUCCCUCAACGUUGAUCCCAAAGCUACUCAAAAACGGCAAUGACUACGCGGCUUCGCUCAGGACAGACGCGACGCCAUCAAAAAAGAACUCGCCAAGCUACUCGCGGCAGGAUUCAUCAAGGAAGUUUUCCAUCCUGACUGGCUCGCCAAUCCUGUGCUCGUUCGCAAGAAAAACAACGAAUGGAGAAUGUGUGUCGACUACACCGACCUCAACAAACACUGCCCAAAAGAUCCUUUCGGGUUACCUAGGAUCGAUCAAGUGGUCGACUCCACCGCUGGGUGCGCCCUGCUCUGCUUCCUCGAUUGCUACUCCGGCUAUCAUCAGAUAAGCCUCAAAGAGGAAGAUCAAGCCAAAACAGCUUUCAUCAUGCCCUUUGGAGCUUUCUGCUACAAAACAAUGUCCUUCGGACUCAAGAACGCAGGAGCAACUUACCAAAGGGCCAUACAGAUGUGCUUUGAAAAACAACUUCAUCGCAAUGUCGAAGCUUAUGUUGAUGACGUCGUCGUCAAAACAAGACACCGGGAGGAACUCAUUGCCGACUUGGAGGAAACUUUCUCCAGUCUCCACGCUUUUCGAUGGAAACUCAAUCCUACUAAGUGCGUCUUCGGAGUACCUUCCGGCAAACUCCUCGGGUUCAUCAUUAGCCAUCGCGGCAUUGAGGCCAACCCGGAGAAGAUAUCUACCAUCACAAACAUGCAGGCUCCAGCCAGCAUUAAGGAUGUGCAGAAACUCACAGGUUGCAUGGCCGCUCUCAACCGAUUCAUCUCGAGACUUGGAGAACGGGGACUACCUUUCUUCAAGUUUCUCAAAUGCCAGGACAAGUUCAAAUGGACGGAAGAGGUAGAUAAGGCAUUGACACAACUCAAAGACUUUCUGUCAAAGCCUCCUGUACUCACCGCUCCCUCGCCGAACGAGGACUUGCUCCUAUACAUCUCCGCUACCACUCAUGUCGUCAGCACGGCAAUGGUAGUCGAACGGUCUGAACCGGGCCACGCCUACAAGGUUCAACGACCUGUCUACUUCGUCAGCGAAGUAGUCUCGGACUCCAAAACUCGGUAUCCACCGAUACAAAAACUCUUAUAUGCUAUUCUGCUCACCUCCCGGAAGCUACGCCAUUACUUCCAAGAGCAUAGCAUCAUAGUCAUCUCCGACUUCCCGCUUGGCAAAAUUCUCCACAACAGAGAUGCCACGGGUAGAAUCUCCAAAUGGGCAGUCGAACUCGGGGCUCUUACUUUGAGCUUCAAGCCAAGGACAGCCAUCAAGUCUCAGGCUUUGGUCGACUUCAUAGCCGAGUGGACCAAAAAUCAAAUUCCAACUCCAGUUGAGCGACCAGAGCAUUGGGUAAUGUACUUCGACGGAUCCCUCAAACUUGAAGGGGCCGGCGCAGGCGUCUUACUCAUCUCCCCCAAGGGAGACCAACUUAAGUACAUGCUGCAGAUAUUCUGGGAAGCAUCCAAUAACGAAGCCGAGUACGAAGCAUUGCUACACGGCCUUCGCCUUGCGAUCUCCCUCGGCAUCAAACGACUACUGGUGUAUGGCGACUCCCUAGUCGUCAUAAACCAGGUCAAUGAUGAGUGGGACCGCAACAAAGACAACAUGGAUGCUUAUUGCAAAGAAGUCCGUAAACUGGAAAACAAAUUCUCCAGCUUGGAGUUCCAUCACAUCGUCCGCGACAACAAUGUUGCUACCGACGUCUUGUCCAAAAUGGGCUCAACUCGUGCAGAAGUUCCAGCAGGAAUUUUCGUACACGAACUACGCAAGCCAUCCAUACCUGUACAGGUCACACCACCAGUAGUCCCGACUACUGACGGCUCUCGAGAGAUCAUGAUGAUAGAAGUCGACUGGAGGACACCCUUCAUCGACUACAUCAAAGAUCACUAGCUACCAUCUGAUAAGAAUAAAGCCGAGCAAAUCUCCUGAUGAGUAAAGAAUUACGUUCUAGUCGGAGACAAGCUCUACAGGAAAGGUACAUCAUCUGGAGUACUCAUGAAGUGCGUCACCAGAGAAGAUGGCCAAGAAAUCCUAGAGGAAAUACACAGAGGAAUCUGCGGCAACCACGCCUCUUCGAGGACACUAGUCGGCAAGGCCUUCAGAGCAGGAUUCUACUGGCCCAUGGCUCUGGCCGACGCCAAGCAACUCGUCCAGAAGUGCAAAGGUUGUCAAUUCUUCACAAAACAGCAACAUGUGCCGGCUUACAAGCUGGUCACAAUACCUCCACCAUGGCCAUUUGCCUGCUGGGGGCUCGACAUGAUCGGCCUAUUACCAACUGCGCCAGGAGGAUUCAACAGAGUACUCGUGGCAAUUGACAAGUUCACCAAGUGGAUCGAGGUCAAACCAGUCACUUGCCCAAAGGCAGACCGAGUCCUCGACUUCUUGGAUGAAAUCGUACAUCGUUAUGGUUUUCCCAAUAGGAUUAUCACCGAUCUCAGGUCAAACUUCAACAAUCAUGACUUCUGGGAAUAUUGCGAGAACAGCGGCAUCGACGUCCGCUAUGUCUCGGUUGCUCAUCCGCGAGCCAAUGGUUAAGUCGAGUGUGCCAAUGGCAUGAUACUCGAUGCUCUGAAGAAACGACUACAUGACGUCGGCAACACCAAAGGUGGCCGAUGGCUCAAAGAGUUACCCAAUGCCUUGUGGGGCCUAUGUACCCAACCAUGCAAGACUACGGGGCUGUCACCUUACUUCUUGGUAUAUGGCUCAGAAGCCAUACUACCCGCCGACAUCAUGUGGUAAUCACCAUCCGUCGAACAAUAUGACGAAGAGCUUGCCAUAGAAACACGGCGAACGGAGAUCGACAGUUUGGAAGCGACAAGAUGCGCAGCACUGGUGCAAUCUGCCAGAUACCUUGAUGGUUUAAGGCGUUAUCACGAUCGCAACAUCAAGGAAAGGUCUUUUAACUUGGGCGAUAUGGUCCUUAAGCGUAUUCAAGACACAUCAGGAUUGCACAAACUCAAUUCACCAUGGGAAGGUCCUUACAUUGUAUCAAAGGUUACAGGACCUGGAUCUUACAGACUCCAAGAGCUCUCAGGAGAACAGGUCCCAAACUCUUGGAAUAUAGAACACCUUUGUUGCUAUUACCCGUAGCAGCACUCGAGUACUCACUUCCAGGCAACUACUCGGGACGACUACUCGGCUAUCGGCUUCAAGGGGUGUUCGCUUUAAUGCGCUAUCAAUACAACAACUCUUUAUUGAAACAAGAGUACAUCAAAUUACAUACGAGUACAAGGACUCAGCUCAACAAAGACUACAAGCAACUGCCUACUGGCGGGCUGCAUUUAAGUCUCAGGCUUUUACUAUAUCACAAGGCCACUCAGGUCUACCGACCGUAGGAGGGGCCCACACGCAAGGAAGCUGUGCAAAACGCAGCCAUGCCCAGGUAUCCUACCCAAGGCACGUCCAGGUACUCCAUUACCGCCAUCAUCAGGACAGCGGCAACGUCAAAACCGGGAAGACGCGCCUAGAGGGAACCAAGGCUGCUCUUUUGCUAGCCUUGCGAAGCCUAUCUACUCUAUGGCCGCACCUCCACUAUCUUUCAGAGCGGGAUGAAGACCGCGACACUCGUCACCCAUCACUCGCUACGAGUUCCAGCGCAUACUCCACUGGAUCAGUAGCUACGGGAUGAGGCAGGCGACGAACCCUCCUACGAGGAUUCUUCUAACAUCGCGGCUAUCCCUACGAGCGCAAGAGCCUGUGGAGGCAAGGUGGCCUUAAUCUACGAGGAACCUUCUAGCACCGGUGCGCUCUUCUCUGGCUCUCUACACUCAAACAGAAGCAACCGCAGGCAAUCCAUUGCUACUCAGGAGCUUGAGUUGGCUCGCCCACCAGAUGGCCCUAUUUAUAGCCGAAAGCUCCAACUACCACCGGCCCAAGAGUUACUGUGCACCCGUGAUCAAUAGGUCUGACAACUCCUGACUCUGCCCAUGUGACUGCACUCAUGCCGCAAUAGACAAAAAGAGCACAAUACACCCGUGUCUCCGCAAUGGACGAAAGAGCUCAGUACAUCCGUAUGGCAACAGAGGACAUCUGAGUACACUACACCCGUGUCCCUCAGAAGAGUACUCAAACAAAAUUACGACUACUCGAUACUUGGGACUACUACGAGCCAAGUUUGGCCUACACGACGGGGACUCCGACUACUCCGAUCCUGGGACCUAAGGUCGGGCGAGGCGGAGUUCCACCCGCGAGGGGUCGGACGCCUCUGACCCCAUGACUCAGGGUCGGACGAGGCGGAGUUCCACCCGCGACGGGUCGGGCGCAUCCGACCCCAGGACUCGGGGUCAGGCGAGGCGGAGCCACUCCUUCAAAGGGUCGGGCACAGCAGAGUUGCAACACUUCGGGAUUCAACAACAUUUUUUCGCAAACAAACCCCAAAUUCCAAAAUCUUGAUAUUCAGAAGUAUCAACAUACUCGGUACAGGAAUAAGGGUUAUACAAAAGCUCAAAUUUCUUCUAAGGAGACGAACUCUGACAUCUUGGCUGCGAUGGGCUCCGCCUCCUUGAGGUACCGCACAUAUGCUUCAUCUGUGCAGUUGCGAGCCAUGCCAUCUCCAGCUGCCGCCAAGUCUGCCCUCGGGUAAUAGGACUUCACAACUGCAAGAACCUGUUUGCAAACAGUCUUGCAGAGUCCCGCCACCUUACUCGAGGCAGCUCUUAGUCGCUCUACUAGCGAUUGCGGCUCUCCGCCUUCCUCCACGGGGGCUAUAGAAUUCACCAAGUCUUCGGCCGCUCCGGACAAAUCUUGGAGUUCACCCCGAAGCCUUCCCAAGGUCUGGGCAUGAUCUCUGCAUGCCACCAUGGCCAUGGCGAGCAUCACGCCGUUUUGCAUCUUCCAGUCUCGAUGACGCUCGCAAGCAGCCUUUGCUUCUGUGAGUGCGGCCCGAAGAUGUUCAGCUUCAUCCGCCACUCGAUCGUGAGCGUUCUUCCAAUCAAUAACUUGGCUCCUUGCAGCCGCCUCCUGCUUCUUGAGCUCUACAAAGGACAAGAACUCAGGUCACAUCCAACUACAGUGCGACACACCCAAAGUAGUCGCCAUGCUUACCUUCAUACUUCUUGUUCAAGGACUUGUAGCUGCUCUCCAGUUUCUCUUGCAGAACGGCGUGAUCCGUGCGUUCCACGGCAAAGGAUUUUGCCCCAACUUCAUGAACCCGAAGCGCUUCUUUCAGUCGGACGCACUCCUACUCCAGCUGGUGGUUUCUUUCCUGAAAAGGUCUGGGUGCGUUGUGGUAAGUUUCACGCCUCACGACUACUCGGGUCCUGCAAUAACAUCAGCAAUAUCUACCUGGAUGCCCCGGAACACAUCCAUGGCCCUCUGGAGCUCCAAAUCAGAAGGCGGGCUGAGUACCGGCCUUUGGGUACUCUCCACAAGAGGAACUGUACCUAGAGCAGCACCUACAACAUUCACCAUAUCAGCUACCAACUACAACUACAAUAACAAAAUACAGGCAUUUACCUGGAGCAGUCGCUUGCUUGGAUUUCUCAACUACAGCCAGCACUCCGCCAGAGGACGCGGAUAGGCCAGCACUUCCCGAGCCUGAUGUAGCAGCAGGCUCCUCUACUGAGCGAAUCACGUCUUGAAGCAUCGACAUCGUAGCUCCAAGAUGACCCGGGUCAACCUCGGGAACUUCUUCAACAAUCAUGUCCUCAAAAGGAACAGAUGUUGUGGCCAAAGGGUCCGGUACUACCCCUGUUUCUACAGGGAUAGUUUCCUCUGCAUCCCUGCACCGCCAAAGUGUUACUACAUGAUUUCCAGACAAUGCAACAUCGUUCAAAAGGACAAGGGCGCUCACCGAGUUGAACGUGGCGGCAGUCGCACACGUUUCUUCUCGGUAAUAGGCGGCCGAGUACUCGGAGCCGCGGGAACGGCCGCCAGCACUGUUUUCUCACCAAGACCUACAAAACCGAAGUCAAGACUACAGUACUACUCAAAUGACUACAUUUGACAAGGACAGCGCUUACCGCUGGCGAUCACAUUUGAAAACAAGGUGCCAGUAGCAAGUACUGGUGACACCUCCUUUGCCACUCCAGCAGGCAGCCCCAGUACCGCCUGAUCAGCAGUGGGCGGCAUGGUAGCUAAUGGAGUUGGCACGGUUAACUUGGGGGCUGCCACAGCUGUUGACGGCACUUUCUCCAGCAAUGUGUCAACGGCCGCCCCACCGACUUCAGGGUCGGACACGGCUAUCUCUUCAGAGACAGUCUCAUCUACAGCCUUCAUGAACCAAGACAUGAUUCACCACAUCAAUAAAGCAUCUCAAGUUCAUCAGUAACAUGCAAGUUAUCGAGUCCAUACCUUGGUACCCUGAGACUUCUCAGUGGUGGCAACAGACUUAGCCACAGCCAUCUUGCAGACUACUCUGCGCCUCUUGACAGGAGGAGAAGGUUCAUCCUCUGAUUCCUCGACGACAGUCUCUGACUCUUCUUCCGGCUGCGCCACAUAGCCGUCAAGUACUCGGGACUUCUAAACAACAAAAAUGGUGUCAGCAACAAGAAUCACAAGUCAACAGGAAACAAGUCAAGAAGGAAAUACUUACCACCUCUAGCUCGUACCAGGAUUCAUACUGGCGAAGGGCCGCAGGGAUUACUGGUACUCCCUGAUAAUUCCUGAAGAACUUCGUUAGCAGCGCCUCCACAUCAUCGUCAGAUAUGUCCUCCUCAGACAUACGCGAUGGAUCUUUCAGAGCUUUGUACUCACUUCACGGGUGAGCGUGUUUUUGAAGUGGCUGGACCCUUCUUUUCAGAAAGCUGGCUGCCACAUUGAUCCCAGUCAGACCAAGUGCUUUCAACUCGGUGAUCUGCUGCAUCUGAAGAUCAAGCUUCGGGGUAUCUUCAGGCUCGCUUAUCCAGUUUUUAGCAUGCUUGGGCGCGUGACCAGUCACCACAGGCAAGCGAGGAUCAUGGUUCCUGAUGUAGAACCAUCUUUUCUUCCAAUCCCCAUGGGAGUCGGUCAGAUUGUACUCAAUGUAUGCACUUGAGUUCCUAAGUUGGAACCCGACGCCUCCAAAGACCUCCGUCCGCUGGGCACUCGGUUGAGGCUUGCAACGGAACAGUUUCCUGAAUAGCUCAAGACUUGGAGGUACUCCCAGGAAAACUUCGCACAGAUGAACAAAGAUAGCCAUGUGCAGUACUCCAUUGGGAUUCAAGUGGACGAGCUGAAGAUUAUAGUACUCGAGAAUACCUCUGAAGAAGUCGGAGGUAGGCACGGCCAGUCCCCUUUCCACGAAGUGAGCAAGCAUCACCGUUUCCACCGGAUGUUCUUCAAACUGCCACGCAUUGGGGAAUGCGGGGUGCCACUGCACGAUUUCCUUCGGUUGAAGGAGCUUGGCAUCGACAAGCGCUUGGACUCCCUCUUCCUUCAUCACUGAGUGUUGCCAAGUUGCCCCAGGCAGCGGCGGAGCUGUCUGGUUCGUCGGCCCCACCUUCGGUGCCGGCAGCACCAACUCCUUCCCCUUCUUGGAUUUAACCUUGCUCGUCGCCAGAGCCUUGCCUUGGAUCUUCUCGGGUUUCUUGCCCAUCUUCUUGGAGCGCAUUCGAUGGAUUCAACUUCGCCUUAGGGAAGAGGCUUCCACUCGGAUCUAACUCAAAAAGCGGCAGUGGCAGAGGCGGCAGCACUGGCGGCAGUGACACAGCGAGCGAAAGCACAGAGGAGGAAGACGAAACAGAUCUAAUGCACGGCGUCACGGCAACUGCAAAAGGGGGCUUUCCAGAUUUAUUUCCACCGGCUCCGGAUUCGACGCGUUUCGUUGCGCAACGAACAGAUUAAAAUUGCGUAUAAACAUCCAACGGUUACUACAUUCAAUGGAUUGUUGACCACUUCAACGACAGGAAUCGCCUAAGUGCUCGGGGGCUACGGGUACCGUACCCGUUGGUCAGUUUUUUCUUUUUCAAAGAUCUCCGAGGGUAAAAUGGGCAAAAGAUGGUUUGACCCUAAGCCUGAGUCUUCGACUCAACCUAAGGCUCGGGGGCUACUCCAUAUGGAGUGCGAUUGACAUCGCACUACCAUAUAAAAACUACUCGGGAUGGAGACAAAUCGAAGCUGAAGAGAGUACGUUCCAGCCACGCGACAGUCCGCAAAACUACCCGGGUAGUGCCUGCAGCGCCCAAGACUAUGGCGCACGACUACAAAGUACUCGGGGGCUUGUCGGGACUACUCCCCGGACCCACGAGUAGGCCUUGGGCAGCCCACUAUGGGACGUACUCGGACGUGAUCAGAACAAGGAUGGGCGUAUCCUACUCGGACUAGUCUUGUAUGUUCAUGGAAAACUACUCGGACGAUACCGAGUAGAACUCUGUAAUAGUACCCGACUAGGACUCAGACUUGUAACCCUGCCUUCCCGGGUAUAUAAGGCCGGGCAGGGACCUCCCUCAAAACAGAUCCUUCAGGACCAGAACACACAUCAAUACAAACCAACACACAGGACGUAGGGUAUUACGCGAUCUAGCGGCCCGAACGUGUCUAAAUCGUGUUCCUUGCUUCACCAUUGAUUCCUUGAUUCUCGACGACCCUUACCGCAUAAAAGACCACCUAGGGUACCCCUAGGCGGGUUGCCGGUCUAAAACACCGACAGCGUCCCUGGGUCCGGGUAGUCUUAUUCCCAAUCAUUCAAUUUGCUAAUCGAAAAGUCGUUACGUACAACCUGGACAGUCGUAUAUAGUUGGUGAUCAGGGUACUCUCCUGUAUGAUCCGGAUCGCCGCAAUUCUCGGUUAUGAAUGCACUUGAUCACUGUUGAGCAUCGUAGCAUAAAUUCAUGAAUGCUAUAUCUUUCUACUAAUGUUUGGUGUAUGACUUAAUACCUUGUUGUUUGCAAAUAGUCUUUUAUCAUCACCUAGAAUGGUUAGGUAAUGCCUUAAUCCAAAUAAAAGAUAAAGCUAAGGUCUCACUUUUAGUAAGCUUUUUGGCAAAAAUGUAUCAGCCAAGUACACCGAAAAAGCUAUCAUGUACUUCCAAGAAAAACUAUUAUAUUGGUUAGUCGGGUAAGCCUUGUUGAGUACCUUGUACUCAGGGUUAUCCCUUGUGUCUAUUUUCAGAAGCACCGCAGGAGUCCACCGAGGAGGAAGCCCCGAAACCCUAGGGUGUUGUUAUGAGUCUCACAAUACCCUUAGAAGAAGUCUUAUAAUGCUCAUCUCCACCCGAACCGUUUAUGUUUUAAAUCCUAGAACUCUGUCUAACACUGCACUGUUAAAUUUGUUUCAAACUAUGUCUUGUAUUAACUCGUACCUCGUGUAUGUAUGUAAAAAUGUAAUAUUUGUUGAUGCUAUCCCAUCGCGGAUACAAUCCUGAUGUAUGGCUAUGAGACAUGACGUGGAUCUUUCGAGGAGUCCUAGGGACACUCGACGGACGACCGAACUUAUACUAUUUUAAGUGCGUUUCGGAUAAUUGCUGCAUCGGCAGCGAUUAGGCGCAUUUAAACCAGUUUAAGUUGGACGGUUCCGCCACAGCAGUUCAGGCUCAGGAGCACAAUACUCCACUCGCGGCUAUCGCCUCCAUCAACCUUUUAACAACGUUGAUGCAGCUCACCUCGUGCAGCGCGGCAACGGACUGAUCGCACAACUCGCGGAGCAAGCUUACAAGUUACUCGACAAAGGAUCACCAAUUCCAUCUGUUCCUCGCAUCACAGCUCACCAAGAAGGUAGAAGGGGAGCUGCAGAUAACAACAAUGCCCCAAAAAAUGGCAAUGAAGUUAACCAACCUCGGUAGCACAGCCAAGGUCCAAGCAAGCACAAAUCCCAAGCUCGCCAUAAGGAUGUUGGCGAGGUCAGCUGCACCAACUCGGUUAGAAGCAUCCGCCCUACUCGAAAGAACCACGAAGUGUCCAACUUUAGUGAUCUACGAGAAAUUCUCAACAGUCGGAGCGAACGAGAAGUCGACAACGACAACCACUUUCCCGCUUUCACAAACCGGGUAAUGAAAACAAAAUUACCCGAGAAGUUCAAGCCAACCGAAAUCACCAAGUAUGAUGGCAAACAAGACCCAAUUCAAUGGCUACGAUGCUACUCGCUAGCCGUGCAAGGAGCCGGGGGCAAUAACGAUACCAAAGUUAUUCACUUUCCCAUAUGCAUGGAACCCGCACCACUGACCUAGUUUGAGUCACUCAAACCCAAGUCUAUUGACUCCUGGGGAGACUUGACAAAGGCUUUCACCAACAACUUCGCCGGCUCCAUGGCUAGACCAGGCAACAAGAUUGACUUAAGUCAAAUUAAGCAAAAAGAAGGCGAGACCUGACGCGACUAUCUGCGACGGUUCUUCGAAAAGAAGGCUAUCAUAGUUGACAUCUCCGAAACAGACGUCAUCGAGUGCUUCCAGAAUGGACUCUACGAUCGAUGAACAUAUCAAGACUGUGGUCGCCGACAACCAGCUAAUGUCAAAGAACUCAAAGUCAUGGUGCAACAGUGGGCGGAUGAAGAAGACAAAGAGUGAGAACGGUUCGGCUCCCACCACAACCGUGGACGCGACAACAACUACAACAAUGACCAAGAUAGAACUCGGCAUAAUGAUACUCGAAACAAUUAUUCGAGUAAUCACAAUCGCAAAAGGACGCCCGACAACACUGUUGCUGUCAUGACCAACUCCGGGACAAAGGGACCUCGUAAAAACGUUGAAGGACCAACCUUCACUGAAUUACUCAAAAAGCAGUGCCCAUGGCACCCGACUAGCAAGCACUCGGCCAUAGACUGCUACAGCAUGCGCCGAGUCAUGCAAGACUUACCCGCACCGCCACCUCCUGAAGAGUACACCAAGAAAAAAGAUAAGGGCAAGAACAAAGCCCGCAACAACGAAGACGAAGAAGGCGACUUCCAGACCGCCUCAAAAACUGGCAACAUCAUCUUCGGCGGUAUCCCAGGCACCGCAUCCAAGCGAGCCAACAAACUCGUACUCAGGGAGAUCAUGGCCAUCGAACCAACAGAUCCAACACCGUUGAAAUGGUCAGAAGUGCCUAUUUCUUUCAGUAGAAAAGAUCAAUGGACCAAGUUCUCAGAACCAGGCCAUUUCCCACUAGUCCUAGAUCCGGUUGUGGCAGGUUCCAAGUUAACCAAAGUACUCAUCGAUGGCGGAAGCGGACUCAACGUUAUUUUUGCCAAGAUAUUGAGGAAGAUGUGCCUUGACGUUACUGAAAUGCUUGCUCCAACAAAUUCACCUUUCUACGGCAUCGUCCCUGGAAAUUCGGCUAUACCACUAGGACAAGUUGUCCUUCCAGUCACCUUCGGAACUAAAGAACAUUACCGUACCGAGUACAUCAGAUUCGAAGUUGCCGACUUCGAGACAUCUUACCAUCCUAUACUCGGAAGGCCAGCACUCGCCAAAUUUAUGGCCAUACCACAUUAUGUUUACCUGGUACUCAAAAUGCUAGGCCCCAAGGGAGAACUCACGCUGCGAGGAGAUCUACGGCGAUCCUACGAAUGCGACACCGAAGUCGUGGAAAUUGCUGCGACUACUCAAGCACCUAGUCCCAUGCAACAAGUCUUCACAGCUUCAAAGAAUCUCCAUCCAACCGAACUAGAGAUCCCGGAAAACAAGUCAGGGUCCACAAAGGUGAAACCCACCAGUGAGCAAGACUUCAAAUCAGUUGACCUCCAGACGGGUGACCCUUCCAAAACUGCCCUGAUCGGAACAGGGCUAGAUCCUAAAUAGGAAUUCGCGCUCGUCAGCUUCCUUCGGGCUAACCAAGAUAUCUUCGCUUGGAAACCGGCUGACAUGCUAGGUGUGCCCAAGGAGCUGAUUGAGCAUUCUCUCAAUGUCGAUCCCAAAGCUACUCCAAAACGGCAACGACUGCACCGGUUCGCUCAAGAUAGACGAGAAGCAAUCAAAAAAGAGUUAGCCAAGCUACUCGCGGUAGGGUUCAUCAAAGAAGUCUUUCAUCCUGACUGGCUCGCCAAUCCCGUGCUUGUUCGUAAGAAAAAUAACGAGUGGAGAAUGUGCGUCGACUAUACCGACCUCAAGAAACACUGCCCAAAAGACACUUUCGGGCUACCCAGGAUCGAUCAGGUGGUUGACUCCACCGCUGGGUGCGCUUUACUAUACUUCCUUGACUGCUACUCCGGUUAUCACCAGAUUAGCCUCAAAGAAGAAGAUCAAGCCAAAACAGCGUUCAUCACACCUUUCGGAGCUUUCUGCUACAAAACAAUGUCCUUCGGACUAAAGAAAUAAGGGGCAACUUAUCAAAGGGCCAUACAGAUGUGCUUCGAAAAGCAACUUUACCGCAAUGUUGAAGCUUAUGUCGACGACAUCAUCAUCAAAAUAAGAAACCAGGAGGAACUCAUUGCUGACUUGGAGGAAACUUUCUCUAGUCUACGCGCUUUCCGAUGGAAACUCAAUCCUACUAAGUGUGUCUUUGGAGUACCUUCCGGCAAACUACUCGGGUUCAUCAUCAGCCAUCGUGGCAUUGAGGCCAACCCGGAAAAAAUAUUUGCCAUCACAAACAUGCAGGCACCAGCUAGCAUUAAGGAUGUGCAGAAACUCACAGGCUGCAUGGCCGCUCUCAACCGGUUCAUCUCGAGACUUGGAGAACGGGGACUACCCUUCUUCAAGCUUCUCAAACGCUAGGACAAGUUCAAAUGGACGGAAGAGGCAGAAAAGGCACUAACACAACUCAAAGACUUCCUGUCAAAGCCUCCUGUACUCACCGCUCCUUCUACGAACGAAGACUUGCUCCUAUACAUUUCAGCUACUACUCAUAUCAUCAGCACGGCAAUAGUAGUCGAACGGUCUGAACCGGGCCACGCUUACAAGGUCCAACGACCUGUCUACUUCGUCAGCGAAGUACUCUCGGACUCCAAAACUCGGUAUUCACCGAUACAAAAGCUCUUAUACGCAAUUUUGCUCACCUUCCGAAAACUGCGUCAUUACUUCAAAGAGCACAACAUCACGGUCAUCUCCGACUUCCCGCUCGAUGAAAUCCUCCACAACAGAGAUGCCACGGGUAGAAUCUCCAAAUGGGCAAUUGAACUCGGAGCUCUCACCUUGGACUUUAAACCAAGGACAGCUAUCAAAUCCCAAGCUUUGGUCGACUUCAUAGCUGAAUGGACUGAAAAUCAAGUGCCAACACCAGUCGAACGGCCAGAACAUUGGGGUAAUGUACUUUGACGGAUCCCUCAAACUUGAAGGAGCCGGCGCAGGCGUAUUGCUCAUCUCCCCCAGGGGAGACCAACUCAAGUACGUGCUGCAAAUAUUCUGGGAAGCAUCUAAUAACGAAGCCGAGUACGAAGCACUGCUACACGGCCUUCGUCUUGCAAUCUUCCUCGGCAUCAAUCGACUACUGGUGUACGGCGACUCUCUAGUCGUUAUAAACCAGGUCAAUGACGAGUGGGACCGGAAUAAGGACAACAUGGACGCUUACUGCAAAGAAGUCCGCAAACUGGAAAACAAGUUCUCAGGCUUGGAAUUUCAUCACAUCGUCCGCGACAACAACGUUGCCGCCAACGUCUUAUCUAAAAUGGGCUACACUCGUGCAGAGGUUCCAGCAGGAAUUUUCGUACACGAACUGCGCAUGCCAUCCAUAUCUGACCAAGUCACACCACCAGCAAUCCCGACUGCUGACGUCUCUCAUGAAGUCAUGAUGAUAGAAGUUGACUGGAGGACACCCUUCAUCGACUACAUCAAAGAUCACCAGCUACCAUCCGACAAAAAUAAAGCUGAGCAAAUCUCACGGCGAGUAAAAAAUUACGUUCUAGUCGGAGACAGGCUCUACAGGAAAGGUGCAUCGUCUGGAGUACUCAUGAAGUGCGUCACCAGAGAAGACGGCCAAGAAAUCCUAGAGGAAAUUCACAGAGGAAUCUGUGGCAACCACCCCUCCUCGAGGACACUAGUUGGCAAGGCUUUUCGAGCAGGCUUCUACUAGCCAAUGGCUCUGGCUGACGCUAAACAACUAGUUCAGAAAUGCAAAGGUUGUCAAUUCUUCACAAAAUAGCAACAUGUACCAGCCUACAAGUAGUCAUAAUACCUCCAACAUGGCCGUUUGCCUGCUGGGGGCUGGACAUGAUAGGGCUGUUACCAACUGCGCCAGGAGGAUUCAACCGAGUACUCGUGGCAAUCGAUAAAUUCACCAAGUGGAUCAAAGUCAAACUAGUCACUUGCCCCAAGGCAGACCGGGUCCUCGACUUCUUAGAUGAAAUCGUACACCGAUACGGUUUUCUCAACAGGAUUAUCACAGACCUAGGGUCAAACUUUAAUAAUCAUGACUUUUGGGAAUAUUGUGAGAACAGCGGCAUCGACGUUCGCUAUGUCUCGGUCGCUCACCCACGAGCCAAUGGACAAGUCGAGCGUGCUAAUGGCAUGAUACUCGACGCCCUGAAGAAAAGACUACAUGACGUUGGCAACACCAAAGGUGGCAAAUGGCUCAAAGAGUUACCCAAUGCUCUGUGGAGCCUACGUACCCAACCAUGCAAGACUACGGGGCUAUCGCCCUAUUUCCUGGUAUAUGGCUCGGAAGCCAUACUACCCGCUGACAUCAUGUGGUAAUCACCAUCCGUUGAGCAAUACGACGAAGAACUGGCAACAUAAAUAAGGCGAACAGAUAUAGACAGUCUAGAAGAAACAAGAUGCGCAGCCCUAGUGCAAUCUGCCAGAUACCUUGACGGUUUAAGGCGUUACCACGACCGCAACGUCAAGGAAAGAUCUUUCAACUCGGGCGAUAUGGUCCUUAAGCGUAUCCAAGACACGUCAGGGUUGCAUAAACUCAAUUCACCAUGGGAAGGUCCUUACAUCGUAUCAAAAUUUACGGGACCUGGAUCUUACAGACUCCAAGAGCUUUCAGGAGAACAAGUACCAAACUCUUGGAAUAUAGAACAUCUUUGUCGCUAUUACCCAUAGCAGCAUCCGAGUAACUACUUCAAGGCAAUAACUCAUGAUGCCUACUCAAGCUAACUGCCCGACUACCGACUUCAAGAUAUCUCAGCUUUGACAAGAGUUAUCAACUCAACAAGGAUCACUGCACUGGUACAAAAUUCCCGUAAAGUAUCUUUACAGAACCGAAGAUACCUCAGGUUACAUACGAGUACAAGUACUCAGAAUACACAAAGACUGCAAGCAACUGCCUACUGGCAGGCUGCAUUUAAGCCUCAGGCUUUUACUAUAUCACAAGGCUACUCAGGUCUGCCGACUCCAAUGGGACGGGCCCGCUGUAACAACUCUACCUAAAUUAAGUACUUUUAACUAUAAACCAGUGAUAAAUCGAAUCCCUAAGUUAAGAAGUGAAAUGACCUUUAUAAACCUAAGAAGCUCUUUUUGGAGUUUGAAUUAAAGCUUGAAAUUUUAUAUACAAACUUAAGUUUCUGCCCAAAUAAGAGUUGUAAAACUUUUUAUUUCCAACAACUUUUGUUAAAGGCACUUUGACUUAUUCGGAGUGGAAGGAAGUCAAACAGCAACCAAAGCCGGUUUUUCUAAAGGACCCUGAACAUCUCUUAAGUCCUGGAAUUCGAGUUUUCCUUCAUCUUGCAAGCUUUCAUCUCCCGUUUCCCUAUCUAAACUCGAGUCAGAGCCUUAAUGAAAGUUGUAGUACCUCGAGUGUGUUCCAACUUUGUCACACUGUCCCAGAUCCAAAUCAGACCCGAACUUGUUCAAAAUCCCGAUCAAAGUGAGGUAAACCAGUCAACUCACCCCGGAUGCCUUAAAUCCUAAGUCUGGAAUUCCAGAUUUUUGGCUAACUUUGGCAUAAAAUAUCUUCGAAUCCUCUCACAAUCAAAACCGACACCUUAAACAAAGUUUGAAGAACGAUCAGUGUUGAACAAGUUUGUUUAAGGGAGUUUCGGAAGUUGUGUUGAAAGAUUCGGAGGAGGAUCGCUCCAAAGCUGGCCGGGCUUACUGCCUGAAAGGGGGCCUCGAUGCCCGCACGCUAGAGCACGUUCGCUCGCGCGCCGCGCGCCGCGUGGCUGUCGGCCACCAGCAGCUCGCCGGCACCCUAUCACCAGCGCGAUAGCGACAGGACGAGAGCCACGGCGCCCAACCCGCACCUGCGACAGGACGGAGCGAACGCCGGGCUAGCCAACCGCCAGUCGCGCGCGUGCCGCCUUCCGCCUGCCACGGCUCUGCUCCGCCAACCCCGUUCUGUCCUUCCGCCAGGAAAGCUGCCAUGCCCCCGACGUCCCGCGCCUCCGCCCGCUCGCCCAACCCCCAUGGUAGCCCUUCCGCGUCGCCCGCCCGACAGACCGGAAGCCCCAGACGCGCGCCGCCCAAGGCCAAUCGCCGCCGAAGACCACCCGGAGCUCCGCCUCCUCUGCCCAAUGGCGUCGCCGGCCAAUGGCCGCCUUGCCCGCGCACUUGUCGCUCCCGGCCUUAUCCUUUCCCCACCGGAGCCCCGCCUCGACCCUCCGCCCCACCAUGGCCCUAUAAAAGGGAACCCCCUCACCGGCAACGCCACCCCUUUGCCACCGCCACACCUGCGCCACCGCUUUCUCCUCUGAGCCUCAGCUUUCUUCCCGCGCCGCCGCUAAGCUACCGUGGAGCUCACCUCCUUGCGCCACCCCACACUCCGGUGACUUCGCCGCCACCCUCAAGCCGCUUCUCCCAACCCACCAGCUGCCUGUUCCUCUGCGCGGUACCAGAGAGUUUGCCAGUGAUCCACCAGAAGCUCCGCCACCGCAGGAGCACCAUCGAAGCCUCGCCGUCGCCAAGCCUUAGUGCGUACAACCUUCCGUCCAAGUCUACUCCUUCUACCCCAAGGCUUCACCGGUAGACCUGGAGGUAAGCUACUUAACCUCCCUGUCCGUCUCGCCCGACCCUUCCUUUUCGUCUCGCCCGACCCUUCCUUUUCGUCUCGCCCGACCCCUUCCUUUUCGUUUAGCCGACACCUUUGUUUCGGUUCGCCCGACCCCUUUUCCUUUUCGUCUCGCCCAACCUUCUUCCUUUCGCCUCGCCGACCCUGUCAGUUCGCCGACCUUUCUCCACCUCGUCCGAGGGCUCGGCUGUAACUUUUUCUUUGACCUGAGGGUAUCGGUGAAAUAAUUUUGGGGAUUCCUCUGUGUUGAGUCUAGGGACCUCAGUACGGUUUUCCUUAAACCUGAGGGUCAGACCCUAAGUUUCCCCCAACCCGACCCUCUCAUCCUGCUCUCCACCAACAGAAGUUGAACUCCCCCACCUUUCCUGUAGCUUUGCUACAAGUGUCCGUGUUAAAACAUGAGUGUGUUGAAAUAACCAUCUAAAAUGUUUAACCCCUGCAUUGCAUUUCCGUGUAGAGUUGAAUCUCGCCGACGGAACGUACGAGCUUCACCCGGCACUAGAAGAAGACCCCGCCAAGGAACUGCAUCCCUUCGUAGGAGAGCCUGAACCAGAGCAAGACCCCGAGACCCGCAAGCUUUUCCUGAAGGCAAGCCUCGGAGCAUAAAUUCCUAUCUUGAGUUCAUGCAAUUUUUUAUUACUUGAUUGCGCAUUUACGUUUCGAGGAGUUGUAAUGGAACCUUAGAUGCAUAAACUUAGUACCUUGUUUUUGAAUACUAGUUGCUAAGGCCGAGUAGUUGCAUUGCUUAAUAGGUUCGGUAAAAGUCGAGUGAUCUCUUGUCACUCGCGAGUUAUAGGAAUUGAAUGUUUCAGUUAUGUCGCAACUAUAAGGACGACGAACGGGGUCAGGCUUGUGUUCGAUACUUGGUGGAUUGCCCCGUCUGUCUAAAUGAAAAUGAACUAAGGUCGAAACGUGUCGACGUUCGUGAUCAAGUGUUGGAAAGUACUAAUCUCAUACCUAGUAUGGGAUGGGGAAGCCUAGUACCUGAUUGAACUGGGGCGUGGCAUACCCUCCGGCUGUCCUUGGAACGUCGUUCCCAUGGUGCAUCAUGUGGGUGCAAGUGCGGUCACAGUGCAGCAAUAGGCCAGGACUGUGGAGCAUUGCAUGCCAAAGGAAGUUGGCCCUGACACGUGCCUAAGGGAUCGAUGGGGACGGUUGACAAAUGAAGCGACCCUUCGUGGUGCGCGGAUGUCGUGAGAUUAGGUUUGCCAUGCAUGGUUAAUAAAUUUCGAAUCAAUUCGUCUGCCUCUCAUAGUUUGGGACUACUUGAUCGCUAUUCCGCACUGAGUAAAGAUGGAACAUGAAUAUGAGAUUAAGUUGAUGCUUGUUUGUACUUGCUUGGAAAUCAUGCUUGUUUAGUAUAAGUUGCUAAUCUAGACUAGAUAAAGAACGUAGAACAUGAGCUAAAAUGUUGAAAGUAAGGACUGACUUUGGACACCUUUGGCAAGAAAACCCCAGAGCCAGAAAGCCUUGCAUGUCCAGGUCUUGGUAGAGCUUUUUCACCCGGCGGGUCAGUCUUGCUGAGUACUAGUUGCUCAGCCUUGUUGUGGCUAAUCUUUUUCAGGUAAUGUCAAUAGUUUGGUUGCGGGUACCACUUGGCCGACCCAGCUUCCUCCAGGCUGGACCGUCGAGUGGGAUACUUCCUCGGAUGGCGAAGGAAGGAAUUUUUGAUGUCAUGAUCGGCUCCGUCGUGAUGUCAUGUAUCGACGUUUAGUUUCCGCUGUUUUCCUUUGACUUCGACCCAUGCAAAUUUCGAUCUGAAUUUCAAAAACUCUGAUGUAAUAAAUUGUUGAACUAUGUUGUCCUGUUGGAAUGUUGUAACCUCUGUGCUACUCACCUUCGCGUGAUCGAUGCUUCUCGAUCUUGUUUAUGUGGUUAAUCGGAUGAAAUCCGACGGUCGACCAAGUUGACUUGCUUAAGUGCAUAAUCGCGUGUCAGGCGACUUCAAUGCACUUUAGUCAGGUUAAUUUGGGCGGUUCCGCCAUACCCACACGCAAGGAAGCUGCGCAAAACGCAGCCAUAUCCAGGUCCUCUACCCAAGGCAACGCCAGGAACUCCAGCAUUGCCACUGCCUUGACAGCGGCAACGAUGAAUCCGGCACGACACACCUAGAGGGAACCAAGGCUGCUCUUUUGCUAGCUUUGCGGAGCCAAUCCAAUCUACGGCCACACCUCCACCUCUCAGAAAGCGGGAUAAAGACCGCGACACUCAUCACCCAUCACCCGUGAGUUCCAGCGCGUACUCCACUGGAUCACGAGCUGCAAGAUGAGGUGCGCGACGAAACCUCCUACGAGGAUUCUUCUAGCAUCAUGGUUAUCCCUACGAGCGCAGGAGUCUGUGGAGGGAAGGUGGCCUCAAUCUACGAGGAAUCUUCUAGCACCGGUGCACUCUUUGACGGCUCUCUACACUCAAACAGAAGCAACCGAAGGCAAUCCAUCGCUGCUCAGGAACUUGGUUUGGUUCGCUCUCCAGAUGACUCUAUUUAUAGCCGAAAGAUGCAACGACCACAUGCCCAAGAGUUACUAUGCGCCCGUGAUCAAUGAGUCUGACAACUCCUGACUCUGCCCACGUGACGGUACUUAUGCCACAAAGGACAAAAGAGUACAGUACACCCGUGCAUCCACAAAGGACAAAGGAGUACAGUACACCCGUGUUCCUCAAAAGAAGAGUACUCGACAACAUUACGACUACUCGACACUCGGUACUCGACACUCGGAACUACAAGCCAAGCGCGGCCUACGCUCACACCAUUAUCUCGGGGGCUUGGACUACUCCGACCCUCUACUCAGGGGUCAGGUGCACCCGACCCCAGGACUCAGGGUCGGGUGAAGCGGGGUUCCCCCCCCCCUCGGGGUCGGGCGAAGCAGAGCUUCCACCCUCAAAGGGGUCAGGCUUAGCCGACCCCAGGACUCAGGGUCGGGCGAGGCAGAGCUCCUCCCCCAGAGGGUCGGGCUCAGCCGACCCCGGGACUUUGGGUCGGACAAGAUAGAGUAAAACUACUCUUCGCAAGACAACAAACUUCAAGCAACAAGACCAAUGGGCAAGUAUUCAUUUAUCAAAAGUAUCGUUCAAAAUACUCGACACAAAUACAAGAGUACAUACAAAGCUCAAGGCUCUUCUAGAGACACAAACUCCGACAUCUUCGAUGCAAUAGGCUCUGCCUCCUCGAGGUACUGUGCAUAUGCUUCUUCUAUGCAGUUGCGAGCCACGCCAUCACCAGCUGCCGCCAAGUCUGCCCUCGGGUAGUAGAACUUCACAACUGCAAGGACCUGUUCGCAAACAGUUUUGCAGAGUCCCGCCACUCUACUCGGGGCAGCCUUCAAUCGCUCGACUAGUGAUUGCGGCCCUGCACCUUCUUCCACGGGGGCUAUGGCGUUCACCAAGUCUUCAGCUGCUACAGUCAGCUCCUGGAGUUCGCCUCGAAGUUUUCCCAUGGUCUGGGCAUGAUCUCUGCAUGCCACCAUGGCCAUAGCAAGCAUCACGCCAUUCUGCAUCUUCCUGUCCCGCUGAUGCUCGCAAGCAGCCUGUGCUUCCGUCAGUGUGGCCCGAAGAUGUUCAGCUUCAUCCACCACUCGAUCAUGCACAUUUCUCCCAUCGAGAACUUGGCUCCUUGCAGCCGCCUCUUGCUUCUUGAGCUCUACAAGACAACAAGUUCAACCACAGCCGACUACAGUUGGACAUACUCAGAGUAGGCAAAAUACUUACCUUAAUACUUCUUGUUCAGCGACUUGUAGCGGUUCUCCAGUUUUUGCUGCAGAACCGCGUGAUCCGUACGUUCCACAGCAAAAGACUUCGCUCCAACCUCGUGAACCCUCAGAGCUUCUGUCAGUCGGGCACACUCCUGCUCCAGUUGAUGACUUCAUUCCUGAAAAGGUCCGAGUAUGCAAUGGUGAGUUAAAAGCCUCACAACUACUCAGUUCAUGCGACAACUCAAAAAGGAAAUCUACCUGGAAGCUCCGAAAAACAUCGAUGGCCCUCUGGAACUCCAAGUCAGAGGGCAGGCUAAGCACUGGUCUUUGGGUACUCUCCGCAAGAUGGGGAAUCGUACCCAGAGUGGCACCUACAACAUUUAUCAUGUCAGCUACCUGCUAUGACUACAAUUACAAGACUACAGAAACAUACCUGGAGCAGUCGCCUCUUUGGUGUUUUCAACACCCACUACGGCCAGUGAUCCGCCAGUAGAUGUUAAUAAGGUAGCACUUCCUGAACCUGAUGCAGCGGCGGAAACCUCCACCGAACGAAUGACGUCUUGAAGCAUUGACAUAGUAGCUCCAAGAUGACCGGCGUCAACCUCGGGUACCUCCUCAACAGUUAAGUCCUCAAAAGGAGCAGAUAAUGUAGUCGAGGGAUCCGGCCCUACCCCUGUUUCUACAGGGAUAGUUUCCUCUGCAUCUCUGCACCAAAAUACGUCACUACAUGAUUUCAAGACAACUUAAAGUCAUUCAACAGACAAGAAAGCUCACCGGGUUGAACGUGGUGGGAAUCACACACGUUUCUUAUCGGCGACAGGCGGCCGAGUACUGGGCGCCGUAGGAACAGCUGUCGGCGCUAUCUUCUCGCCAAGGCCUAUGAAGCAGAAGUCAUGACUACAAUACAACUCAAACAAAUAUUUUUUAGAAGGGACAAUGCUUACCACUGGCGAUCACAUUGGACAGCAAAGUACCAGUAGCGAGUACUGGCGACACCUCCUUUGCAACGCCCGCUCCUCCGGCAGGCAGCCCCAGCACCGCUUGGUCAGCAACGGGCAGCAUGGCAGCCGACGGAGCUGAUAGCUCGGGGGCUACUCCAACUUCUGUUGACGGCACCUUCUCUGGCACCAUAUCAACAGAUACAUCACCGACGUCCGGGUCGGUUACGACUACUUCUUUAGAAGCAGCCUCAUCACCACCAAGCGUCGUGUCAACAGCCUUUAUGACAAAGAUGAAUUAGUCAUAACAAUAACAAGUUCAAAUUUAUCAGCUACAGAUAAGUUCACGACUACAUACCUUGGUACCCCGAGACUUCUCCGGGGUUGAAGUAGACUUAGCCGCAGACAUCUUGCGGACUACUCUGCGUCUCUUGACAGGAGGAGAGGGUUCAUCCUCUGACUCCUCAGUAACAGCCUCUGACUCUUCUUCCGACUGCGCCAAGUAGCCGGCAAGAACUCGAGACUACAAACAAAAAGUUGAUAUCAACAACAAAUAUCACACAAGUCAAAAAAGAACAAGUCAGGUGCAAAUACAUACCACUUCUGGCUCAUACCAGGCGUCAUACUGACGAAGGGCCGCAGGGAUUACUGGUACUCCUUGAUAGUCCCUGAAGAACUUGGCCAGCAGCGCCUCUACGUCAUCAUCGGAUAUAUCCUCAUCGGACAUACGCGAUGGAUCCUUAAGUCCUACGUACUCACUUCCCGAGUGAGCACGUUGUUGAAGCGGCUAGACCCUUCUCUUCAGAAAGCUGGCUGCCACAUUGAUUCCAGUCAGACCGAGUGCCUUCAACUCGGUAAUCUGCUGCAUCAGGUGAUCGAGCUCAGGGGUGUCUUCGGGUUCGCUCACCCAGUUUUCUGCGUGCUUGGGCGCGUGACCAGUCACCACAGGAAAGCAAGGAUUAUGGUUCCCAAUGUAGAACCAUCUCUUCUUCCACUCCCUAUGGGAGUCAGUCAAGUUGUACUCAAUGUAUGCACCCGAGUUCCUGAGUUGGAACCCGGUGCCUCCAAAGACUUCUGUUCUAUGGGCACUUGGCUGUGGCUUAUAGCGAAACGGUUUCCUAAACAACUCGAGACUUGGAGGAACUCCCAAGUACACUUCGCAGAGGUGUACAAAUAUCGCCAUAUGCAGUACACCAUUGGGGUUCAAAUGCACAAGUUGAAGCUUAUAGUAGUCGAGAAUACCUCUGAAGAAGUCGGAGGUGGGCACUGUCAACUCCCUCUCCAUAAAAUGGGCGAGCAUCACGGUCUCGCUUGGAUGUUCCUCAAAUUGCCACGCAUUUGGAAAUGCGGGGCGCCACUCAAGAAUCUCCUUCGGCUGCAGAAGCUUUGCAUCGACUAGUGCUUGCACGGCUUCCUCCAUCAUCACUGAAUGUUGCCACGUUGCCCCAGGCAGCGGCGGCGCAGUCUGGUUCAUCGGCCCCACCUUCGGCGCUGGCAGCACCAGCUCCUUCCCCUUCUUGGAUUUCGCCUUGCCCGUCGCCGGAGCCUUGCCCUGGAUCUUCUCGGAUUUUUUGCCCAUCUUCUUGGUGCGCAUUCGACGGACUGAACCUCAAGCUAGAACGGCACUCUCACUCGGAUCUCUCUCAAGGGGCAACAAUGGCGGCGGCAGCACUGGCGGCGGCGCAAGUGUGGAGCAGGCAGAUAAUCAGAUCUGAUUUCUUUGCGGCGUAAAAACAACCGAAAGGGGACUUUCCAGUUUUAUCUCCGCCAUCUCCGGUUUCCACGCGUCGGUUGUGCAACGGACAGAUUAAUUGCAGAUUAAUCACCUUAAACACUCAAUGGCUACUCUUUUCAACGGACUGCUGACCACUUCAACGACAAAGAUCACCUAAGUGCUCGGGGGCUGCGGGUACCGUACCCGUUGGUCAGUUUUUUUCUUUUUCAAAGACUUCCAAGGGUAAAAAAAAGAGACAGAAGACUGAUUUUGACCCUAAGCCUGACUCUUCGACUCAACCCAAGGCUCGGGGGCUACUCCAUAUGGAGUGCGAUUGACAUCGCACUACCAUAUAAAAUCUCGGAACAGAAGCAACUCGAAGGAAGAAAAAGAGUACCUUCCAGCCACGCGACAGUACUCGAGCACUUCGGUCCGCAAAACUCUACGACUAGCUACUCGAAUGGUGCCCGCAGUGCCCAAGACUGGGGCACACGACUACAAAGUACUCGGGGGCUUGUCGGGCAUACACCCCAGGCCCAUGAGUAGACCUUGGACGGCCCACUAAGGGACGUACUCGGACACGAUCAGAAUAAGGAUAGGCGUAUCCUACUCGGACUAGUCAAGUAUGUUUAUGAAAACUACUCGGGCCUUACCGAGUAGAACUCUGUAAUAAUACCCGACUAGGACUCAGACUUGUAACCCAGCCCUCCCGUGUAUAUAAGGGUGGGCAGGGACCCCUCUCAACAACAACUCUAGUUCAUCAAUACAAACCAACACACAGGACGUAGGGUAUUACGCGAUCUAGCGGCCCGAACCUGUCUAAAUCGUGUUCCUUGCGUCACCAUUGAUUCCUUGAUUCUCGACGAUCCUUACCGCACAAAAGACCUCCUAGGGUACCCCCUAGGCGGGUUGCCGGUCUAAAACACCGACACCAGUAGGCAGUUGCUUGAAGUUGUUGUUGAGCACAUAUGUUGUACUUUGAACACUCCGACUUCUUAAAGUGGAGUUAUCUGUUGUAAUCCUGCAAAAUUUCGUUAAUACAAAAAAUGCAUACAUGAAAUGAGAUGAGUGACUUUGAGUACUCUUUGAUUGUUUGUUGUGGCAGACUUGGGCCUUUAGAGAGUGUAUGACUUAGCUCGGUAGUCGCGAGUUGCUUUUAUAAGUCGUAAAUAGAGCGUUAAAGCUCAGAGAGUUGAGUAGCUCAAGUUGCAGCUGACUUGUAUUUACGAGGCGCUAGACUUGUUAUUACAAGUCGAAGAGAGAGAGAGAGAGCAGAAGCUCGUAGAGAUGAAUAGCUCGAGUUGCAACUGACUUGCCCUUGCAAGCCGCUAGACUUGUUGAAACAAGUUGAAGUCCGAGCGCAGAGGCUCGUAGAGCUGAAUAGCUCGAAUUGCAGCUAACCCGCCUUUGCAAGCCGCUAGUUGUAGGCAAAGACGAGUAGUCGGUAGUUGCCGAACGGAAAUUUAUUGAUCAUAAAUGAAAGGUUGAGGCCGUUGGCCUGAGUACAGUGCCGCUUAGUCUGUUGACUAUGGGUAGUAGCGACAUAGGAGCUCUAUAUUCUAGUAGUUUGCGACUUCUUCAUCGGAGAGUUGUUGUAGCCUGUAGGAUCCUGGUAUUGUGACUUUGGAUAUGACAUAAGGCCCUUCCCACGGCGAGUUGAGUUUGUGCAGCCCUGUUGUGUCGUGAAUGUGCUUGAGGACCAUGUUGCCAAUGUUGAAAAAAUGUUCUUUGACGUUGCGAUCGUGGUAACGACAUAGUCCUUCAAGGUAUCUUGCUGACUGUACAAGUGUUGCACAACGUGAUUCUUCCAAGCUGUUGAGGUCCAAACACCUUGUUUCUCUGCUGCCCCUUCGUCGUAUUGUUCAACUGUAGGGGAUCUCCACAUGACAUCAGCAUGGAGUAUGGCUUCUGACCCAUAGACGAGGAAGUAGGGUGACUACCCAGUAGGCUUGCAUGGUAGAGUACGUAGCCCCCAUAGAAUGUUCGGUAGUUCCUUGAGCCACUUGCUUCCUUUGGUGUUACCAAUGUUGUGCAGCCUUUUCUUAAGAGUUUCGAGUAGCAUGACGUUGGCGUGCUCAACCUAACCGUUGGCUCUUGGGUGAGCGACGGAGACGUAGAGAACGUCAAUUUCGCUAUUUUCCCAGUACUCCCAAAACUUGUGAUUGUUGAAAUUUGAGCCCAGGUCUGUGAUAAUUCUGUUUGGGAAUCCGUAGCAGUGUACGAUUUUGUCCAGGAAGUCAAGAACUUUCUCAGCCUUGGGACAAGUGACGGGUUUUACCUCAAUCCAUUUGGUGAACUUGUUAAUGGCGACGAGUACUCGAUUGAAUCCUCCUGGGGCUGUUGGGAGUGGACCAAUCAUGUCAAGCCCCCAGCAUGUGAAAGGCCAUGUUGGAGGUAUUGUGAUGAGUUUGUAGGUAGAGACAUGCUGUUGUUUGGCAAAAAACUGGCAGCCUUGACAUCUGCGGACUAGUUCCUCCACUAUUGUUCUUGAGGAUGCAUGAUUCCCACAAAUUCCUUUAUAUAUUUCCUCCAAGAUGUCCUUGGCGUCUUCGCGAGUAACGCACUUCAUGAGUACUCCUGAGGACGCACCUCUUCUAUAAAGUUUAUCUCCAACUAGAACAUAGCUUUUGCCUCACCGUGAGACUUGUUUUUCCUGCAUCUUGUCGGAAGGUAGCUUAUGCUUUUUAAUGUAGUCGAUGAAAGGAGUUCUCCAGUCUAGCUUGAUCAUCAUGAUCUCCCGGUCAGGUUCUGUUGGACUCUUACUGGUGGUUGCUAGAGUUGCUUGUUCCGUUAUGGAUGGCUUGCGAAGUUCAUGGACAAAGAUGCCUGUUGGUACUUUCACGUGCGUUGACCCCAUUUUGGAUAAAAUGUCGGCUGCGACGUUGUUGUCGUUGAUCACAUGGUGAAAUUCGAGGCCUUAGAACUUGUUCUCUAUCUUGCGGACUUCCUUGCAGUACGCGUCCAUGUUUUCUUUGUUGCGGUCCCACUUGUUGUUGACUUGAUUGAUGACUACUAGUGAGUCACCAUUGACCAGUAACCUGUUGGUGCCUAGUGAGACUGCUAGGCGAAGACCAUGUAGUAAUGCUUUAUACUCAGCUUCGUUGUUUGAUGCUUCCCAAAAGAUCUGGAGAACAUAUUUGAGUUGCUCGCCUUUUGGGGAUAUUAAGGGUACUCCUGCACUGGUUCCUUCGAGUUUGAGUGAUCCGUCGGAGUACAUGAUCCAAUGUUCAGGGCGUUUUACCGGUGUAGGCAAUUCAUUUUCCCUCCACUCAGCCAUGAAGUCGACUAGUGCUUGGGACUUAAUUGUUGUUCUGGGUUUGAACCCCAAGGACAAUGCUCCGAGUUCCACUUCACAUUUUGAUAUUCUUCCUGUGGCAUCCUAAUUGUGGAGGAUCGGGAAGUCAGUAAUGAUGACUAUGUUGUGUUCCUGGAAAUAAUAUCGCAUUUCCGUGAAGUGAGUAGUAUGGCAUAGAGUAGCUUUUGAAGCGGUGGGUACCGUGCCUUGGAGUCUGAGAGUACUUCGCUGACGAAUUAUACGGGUUCUAGACUUUGUAGACGUGGCCUGGUUCAGACCUUUCGACUACUAUUGUUGUGCUGACAACAUGAGUGGUUGCAGCGAUGUACAAGAGCAAGUCUUUGUUUGGUGUUGGAGCUGUGAGGAUCGGUGGCUUUGACAUGAAGUCUUUUAGCUGUAAUAGACCCUUAUCCGCCUCCUCUGUCUAUUGAAACUUGUCUUGUCGCUUGAGUAGUUUGAAGAAGGGUAGGCCCCCUGCUCCAAGUCUUGAGAUGAAUUUGUUGAGGGCUGCCAUGCAGCCUGUAAGCUUCUACCCAUCUUUUAUGCCGGAUGGGGCCUGCAUAUUAUUGAUGGCAGAGAUUUUCUUAGGGUUUGCCUCGAUGCCUCGAUGGCUGAUGAUGAACCCGAGUAGUUUCCCCGAUGGUACGCCGAAAACACAUUUGGUAGGAUUGAGUUUCCAUCGGAACGCUCGCAAGCUUGUGAAAGUUUCUUCUAAAUCUGCGAUCAGAUCGUCUGGAUUCCUAGAUUCCUAGUUUUUGACUAGUACAUCAUCCACGUAGGCUUCUACGUUGCAGUGUAGUUGUUUCUCAAAGCACAUUUGAAUAACGCGUUGAUAAGUCGCUCCUGCGUUUUUCAGCCCAAAAGACAUUGUCUUGUAGCAGAAAGCACCGAAAGGGGUGAUGAACGCGGUCUUGGCUUGAUCUUUUUCCUUGAGUGCUAUCUGGUGAUAUCCCGAGUAGCAAUCAAGGAAACAGAGUAGUGCGCAUCCAGCUGUGGAGUCAACUACUUGAUCAAUUUUGGGAGCCCAAAGGGAUCUUUGGGGCAAUGCUUGUUAAGGUCUGUGUAGUCGACACACAUCCUCCACUCGUUGUUGUUCUUCUUUCGAACUAAAACUGGGUUAGCUAGCCAAUCAGGGUGGAAGACUUCUUUUAUGAAACCUACCGCGAGUAGUUUGGCUAGCUCUUUCUUGAUCGCAUCUCAUUUUGGGGUAGCUUUAGGAUCAACAUUAAGUGAGUGCUCGAUCAAUUCCUUGGGCACACCUGGCAUGUCAGCUGAUUUCCACACGAAAACAUCUUGGUUUGCCCGAAGGAAACUGAUGAGCGCGCUUUCCUAUUUAGGGUCUAGCCGAUUAGGGCUGUUUUGGAUGAGUCUCCAUUCUCAAGGUCAAUGGCUUUGAAAUUAUUAUCGUUUGCUAGCUUGACUUUAGUGGCUCCCGACUUGUUCUCCAAAAUUUCAAAUUCUGCCGGGGUGAGCUUCUUCAAAGCAGUGAAGACUUGUUGCAUGGAGCUGGGUACUUGAGUAGUCGCGGCUAUCUCAACAGCUUCCGUGUCGCAUUGAUAGGAUCAUCUCAGGUCUCCACGAAGAGACAGUUCUCCUUUUGGUCCAGGCAUCUUCAGUAGUAGGUACACGUAGUGUGGGAUGGCCAUGAACUUGGCUAGGGCUAGUCUACCGAGGAUGGCGUGAUACAAAGUCUCAAAGUCAACCACCUCAAAUUUGAUGUACUCUGUGCGGUAAUGCUCUUUGGUACCGAAAGUGACCGGUAGGACGACUUGUCCUAGUGAAAUAGUUGCGUUGCUUGGGAAGAUUCCAUAGAAGGGAGAAUCCGUUGGGGGUGAGCAUCUCAGUGAUGUCGAGGCCCAUCUUGCUUAGAGUCUUGGUGAAAAUGACGUUGAGUCCACUGCCGCCAUCGAUGAGUACCUUGGUUAGUCUUGAGCCUACGACAACUGGGUCUAGUACCAGAGGGAAAUGUCCUGGUUCUGAGAAGUUGGUCCAUUGAUCCUUUCUGCUAAAGGUAAUGGGUACCUCAGACCAUUUGAGAGGUGUGGGGGUGGCUGGUUCGAUAGCCAUGAUUUCUCUGAGUACUAAUUUGUUGGAUCACUUGGAGGUAGUGCCUGGAAUUCCACUAAAAAUGACGUUGACAGUUUUAGAUGCUGUCUGGAACUUGUCUUCGCCAUCUUCAGUUUCAUCCAUCUUGCCCUUGCUUUUGUCAUUAUUGUUGUUAUUGCUAUUUUUGUUGACGGGAGAUUCUAGCAACUCUUGCAUUACUCUGCGAAGGUUGUAGUAGUCUAUUGCAGCAUGCUUGCUGCGCGGGUGUAAUAGGCAUUGUUUCUUGAGUAGUUCGUUGAAUGAAGGGCCAUCAUUUCAUUUGUUUGGUCCUUUCUUGCUUGAGUUUGACAUUGCGGCAACAAGAUUGUCUGGUUUGCGCUUGCGAUUCUGAUUGCCUGAGUAGUUGUUUCAGUAAUCGCCAUUGCUUUUUCUAUCUUGUUCUUGGCUGUUACCUUGGUUGUUGUUGUUGUCACGCCCGCGAUUGCGGUGUGAGUUGAACCUUUCGUGUUCCUUAUCUUCUUCGUUUGCCUAUGACUGAGCCAUGAUUUUGAGUUCUUUGACAUCUGCUGGACGACGUUUGCCAAAGUCUUGGAACAUGCGAUGGUCCCAGAGGCCAUUUUGAAAAUAUUCUAUCACGUCUACCUCUGAGAUGUCAACAAUUGUAGCCUUUUUGUCAAAAAAAUGGCGUAGGUAGCUGCAUAGGGAUUCAUCCUUUUGCUGCUUAACUUGAGCCAAGUCAAUUCUGUUGCUAGGGCGCUGCAUAGUUCCUGCGAAGUUGCUUGUAAAAGCUUUCUUUAGAUCAGACCAUGAAUCGAUGGAGUCAGGCUUCAAAGAUUCGAGCCAAGUUAGUGGUGCGGGUUCCAUGCAUACAGGAAAGUGGAUGACCUUUGUAUCGUCGCUUCCGCCUACAGCUUGGACUACUAGUGAGUAGCAGCGGAGCCACUGAACUAGGUCGUGUUUGCCAUCAUAUUUGGUGAUGCCCAUUGGUUUGAAUUUCUCUAGUAGAGUAGUCUUCAUGAUUCGUCUUGUGAAAGCGGGGUAGUGAUCAUUGUCAUCACCCUCAACUUCACAUUCAUAGCGGCGAUUGUUGAUUAUAUCUCGAGCAUCAUGGUUGUGGUUUAGGCUUUCCCUAAGAUUGCUGAUGUGCGAGGGUUCUGGAUUAGCUUUGCGGUGACGUGGGCCUUCCGCGGAGGUUGAACGACUACCUUCGGCUACAUCUCUAUUUCAUCUAGGAGCUUCGUGUGUGUCUCUGCUUUGCCUCGGUCCUUCGAGUAUGCCCCUAUGUUGUCUUGGUUCUUCGUGCGAUUGGUUUGAGUGUCUCGCAUGGUCUCUGCUAUUGCCAUGCCGACUUGGGUUGAGGGGCAUGGAUGGGAUUGGUGUUUCCUUGUUGAGGAGUUUGUAUGCGUGUUCUGCCAAGUAUGACAGGAGAUCGUUGUACUUGUCCUGAGGCAUUGAACGGGCGAUAAGGUCGAUAGAGGCAAUAGUGGCGAGUGGCGUGUUGUGUUCUCGUGUUUGUACUGCUUCGAGUGCUCUGUCGAGGUUCACGAUGGAAAGUCUCGCAGUGAGUAGUCGAUGACGAUCUACUCUCUGAGCGUUUCUUGCCUUUCUUUGAGUUCUCUGGCUGCUAGUUUCGCCCUCCGGUGCGUCAGCUAAUAAUUCAUCUUAGGAGACUUCUUCGACUUGGCGUUCCCGACAAGGAGUUCUCUGGUGUUGGCGUUGAUCGUUGGUUCCUAUUCCAUCAGCUGGUGAAACAACAACAAAGAAUUCUCUAUCCAGAGAGUAGCUUCUAGAGCUAGAUGUGAUGACCUCCAUGGAGCCAUCUUCUUCGCGGAUCGGCGAGAGUGGAGUACCCUCUUGGUAUGGGAGGAUGUCCAAGUGUGCAACGAGGCAUGACUUGUUGUCCUAGGCAAGGAAGGAUGGCUUCAUGCCCGACCAGUAGACGAAUCUGCCUUGCGGUGUGGAUGUGAUUACCAGGCCUAGCUGCAGAUCUGAUAAGGGGAGUUCUUCAAGACAGUUGGAGUCGUAGUCAUGGUCUUCAAUUGAUUCCAGUCCGGAUUGGACUUUGGAUAGAGCUUUUUGAUGAACUGUGACCGCAUUUUGGAGUCCGAGCGGGAAUCGACUUGGAAUUGUAUCCGGUCCACACGAUGUCUGAGUUGCCUGCUCGUGCGGACUAGUCCGAGUUGUGGUUGAGUCCGAGUUGUGAUUGAACCCGAUGUUGUUCGGAUCGAAAAAUUUGAAUUUCUUAAUGCAAUCUUCCGCCUCACGACGAGAGUUUCCGUCGAGAUGUUUCUUCUUCGAUUCUUCGAUGAUGCAGCGUUGGAAACCUACAAAGCCAUCAACGAUGCUGAGCCAGGAGUCGAAAACGAACAUUGCGUCCGCUUCAAACGCGAACGCAGGCUUGAUGAUGACUAGAGCCAUCUAUCUUGCGCGGAGAAUUUUGGCAACUUUCCCUACCUGGUGCGCCAGCUGUCGGUGUUUUAACUCGACAACCUAUCAAGGGAGUACCCGAGAUAGUGUUUUGGUUGGUGGGUGACGCUGAAAUCAAGGAGUCGAUGGUGACGUAGGGACACGAUUUAGAUAGGUUCGGACUGCUAGAUCGCGUAACACCCUACAUCCUGUAUGUUUGCUUGUAAUCGAUUGAACUUUUUUGAGGGGGUCCCUGCCCACCCUUAUAUAUUGAGGGACCAGGGUUACAGGGCAGUCUUUGGUACAAAGAGUACUAGUCGGACAUGACUACAGAGUCCUACUGUAACUCAACAGAGUAAUUUUCUUGUAUUCUGACUAGUCCUUCACGAGUCCAUGUAGUCUACAUUGCCCUGUAGCGUAGUCUUCAUGUCCUGAUACGUCUUGAGUACGUCCCCUUGAGUGGGUCCGUACAGACCUUCUGGUGGGCCCAGGGAUGUAUGGUCGACAGGGUCAUGAUAUUAAAGAAGGAAGGUGGAAAGACCAUCUCAAAGCUGACAAGGCAUUGCACUACAUCAUUCUGCAGCUUUAGUAGAUUGUUUGGAUGGAUUGUCUUCUGAGAAAUCAUGAUGAGGAAUGCACAUAGCUUCACGAUUGUCAUUCUCACAUUCUCUGGUAGAAAAUCCCUCAGUGCAAUAGACAACAAUUGUGUCAUCAGGACAUGACAGUCACGGACCUUUAGGUUUAGGAAUUUCUUCUCUUUAAAAUUUAUUAUUACAUGUAUAUUCGAAGAGUAGCCCGAUGAGACCUUGAUACUAUUCAAGCACUCAAACAUGCUUUCCUUCUCUUCCUUGUUAAGAGUGUUGUCGGGGGGAAAUAUUAACGACUUUGUUAUUCUCCUUAUUCGACGGUCGUAAGUGUAGGAAUACGAGGUAGGCUACACUAGCGCAAUUCAAAAAUUCUACCGCGUAUAACCAGGAAGAACUGCCGUAUAAGGAUCACGGGAUUACCACUCGACGCACUACUGGUGCGGAAGAUGUAGAUAUGCGUCGAUGCAGUGAAGACGAUCACGUAGUCGUACGUAGUCGAUCAACGUAGUCGUACGUACGUAGUCGAUCACAUCCAGCAGCUUCUCAGCAGCUCGUCCACGUGCAACAAGAUCGCCUCCGGUGCCGCGGCUCGUCGUCGGCUCGUCGUGGCUCGUCGGCGGCUCGUCGGUGGCUCGUCCAAGUGCUGCAGGCGCAACACCUCCAAGGUAUCCGCACGUGCAGGGAGGAAGCGUCACAAGCCGGACUGCUAGAUCCGCGAGUUGCAACAGGCGAGGGCGUGGGAGGCGCGGCAGGUGUGUUUCGCCAAAAGGUGUAAACCCUAGGGCGCCCCUACCCCUCUUUUAUAGAGGUUCCUAACGGGCCUCUGGGUCCGAGGCCCAUUAGUACUUCUAAACCUAAUCCAACUCGGAUGAGAUCCGAAUUGGGCUUCCAGCCCCUUAAGUGUGUGACCCUAUGGGUUCGGAUACGUAUAGACAUGGCCCGAGUACCCCUACUCGGCCCAAUAGUCGGUAGCGGCCUCUAGCAAGACGUGCCAACUCCUAUACGCACACAAAGAUCAUAUCAGACGAACCAUCACAACAUAAUAUACAUGCUAUUCCCUUUGCCUCACGAUAUUUGGUCUAGCUUCAAGCCGACCGCUCUUUCUCGAUCCUGUGAUUCGGAAUCCCUUUGUAGGUUAACUCUUAACCAUACGUAGCAUGGCCAUGCAUUUUCGGAUCUGAUCACUCGAGGGGCCCAGAGAUAUCACUCUCAAUCAGAGAGGGGCAAAUCCCAUCUUGAUUGGCCAUGUCUCAUAGCAUGCUUCUUGACAAACCCGAAAGCUACCUUUAUAACUACCCUGUUACGGCGUAGCGUUUGAUAGCCCCUAAGUAGGUCGAUCCACAUCUAGAAUCCAUGCAACAAUCUCAGGUCUAAGGACAAAGCGUAUAUGUUGUUUAAAGAGAGAACUACUUCUCGUGUUGGGUAAGUCCUAGCACAUGUCUCCACAUGUGUCCACAUUAUUAGUUCAACAUCUCCAUGUCCAUGACUUGUGAAACAUAGUCAUCAACUAAUACAUGUGCUAGUCUAAUAUUCAUGUGUGUCCUCACAUGAACUCCGACUAGGGACAACUUUAGAAUAACCAUACAAGUAAAGAGUUUCACAUACAAUUCACAUAAUUGCAAAUCAAUUCAAGUAGCCUUCAAUGGAUAUUCAAUGAACACAAUAUACAAAUCAUGGAUACAAAUGGAAUAUCAUCAUCUCUAUGAUUGCCUCUAGGGCAUACCUCCAACAGUCUCCCACUUGCACUAGAGUCAAUCUAGAAGGUACCUAAUACCCAUAGCUCUUACAUGUGCAUCAUGCUUAGCCUGCGGGAGUGGUUUUGUCAACGGAUCAGAAAUGUUCAGAUCCGUGUGUAUUUUGCAUAUCUUGAUCUCACCCCGGUUAACGAAGUCUCGAAUGAGAUGAAAUUGCCGCAUUACGUGUUUGUUCUUCUUGUGGUUCCUUGGCUCCUUUGCUUGCGCAAUUGCCCCAUUGUUGUCACAGUAGAGAUUCAAUGGGCUGGACGCAUUCGGGAACACACCAAGCUCAAUGAGGAAAUUCCUUAUCCAAACACCUUCCUUCCCGACUUCCGAAGCCGCGAUGUACUCGGCUUCUGUCGUAGAAUCGGCCACCGUCUCCUGCUUGGAACUCUUCCAACUAACAGCACCACCAUUUAGCGUGAACACAAAUCCUGAUUGUGAAUUUGAAUCAUCUCUGUCGGUUUGGAAACUAGCAUCGGUGUAACCUGUUGCAACGAGCUCCUCCUCACCUCCAUAGACGAGGAACAUAUCUUUAGUCCUUCUCAAGUACUUAAGAAUGUUUUUCACCGCUGUCCAGUGACUCUCACCUGGAUCAGAUUGGUGUUUGCUUGUCAUACUUAGUGCAUAUGAAAUAUCUGGGCGAGUACUUAUCAUUGCAUACAUGAUAGAUCCAAUAGCCGAGGCAUAUGGCACUCUACUCAUGCGAUCCCGCUCAUCAGCAGUAGAAGGACACUGAGUCUUGCUGAGAUGUAUGCCAUGUGACAUAGGCAAGAACCCUUUCUUUGCCUCUUCCAUGCUGAACCGCUUCAACACUUUGUCAAUGUAAGUAUCUUGGCUUAAACCUAUAAGCCUUCUUGAUCUAUCUCUAUAGAUCUUAAUGCCCAGAAUAUAUGCCGCUUCCCCUAAGUCCUUCAUCGAAAAACUAUUUUUCAGUGAAGUCUUUACGGACUCAAGCAUAGGAAUGUUAUUUCCAAUCAGUAAUAUGUCAUCCACAUAUAAGAUUAGAAAUACUACAGAGCUCCCACUAACCUUCUUGUAAACACAAGACUCUUCUUCGUUCUUGGUGAAGUCAAACCCUUUGACCACUUCAUCAAAACGAAUGUUCCAACUCCUAGAUGCUUGCUUCAAUCCAUAAAUGGAUCUCUGAAGCUUGCAUACCUUUCCAGCAUUUUUCGGAUCGACAAAACCCUCGGGCUGUAUCAUAUACACGUCCUCAGCUAGGUUUCCAUUCAGGAAAGCUGUCUUGACAUCCAUCUGUCAUAUCUCAUAAUCGAAAUAUGCAGCUAUAGCUAGAAUAAUCCGAAUGGACUUAAGCAUCACUACGGGCGACAAGGUCUCGUCGUAGUCAACUCCUUGAACUUGUCGAAAACCUUUUGCGACAAGUCGUGCUUUAUAGAUGUGAACAUUUCCAUCCAUGUCCUUUUUCUUCUUAUAGAUCCACUUGCACUCUAUGGCUUUAACACCAUCAGGCGGGUCAACCAAGUUCCAAACUUGAUUGUCUCUCAUGGACUCUAUUUCGGAUUGCAUGGCACUCUGCCAUUUUUCAGAGUCUGGGUCCAUCAUUGCUUCUGCAUAUGUCGCAGGCUCAUCAUUGUCCAACAAUAAUCUUUCUCGCAUUUCGCGGAGCCUUGCUGACCUUCGUGGUUGUGGUGGUGCUUCUCUUGCCAUGGGUAUCUCAACUUGUUCUGCUACGUUAGCAUCACUCAUUGAUUCUUGCCCGAUCGGCUCAUCUUGAACUUCUUCAAGAUGCACUGUCUUUCCACUCUUUUCUCCUUUGAGAAACUCUUUCUCUAGGAAAACCCCGUUCCGAGCGACAAACACUUUGCCUUCUAAUCGGUUGUAGAAAUAAUAUCCCAAAGUUUCCUUUGGAUAUCCCACGAAAAUGCACUUAUCUGACUUGGGUGUGAUCUUGUCCGACUGAAGUCGCUUGACAAACACUUCACAUCCCCAAAUCUUUAGAAAAGACAAACUAGGAACCUUUCCAGUCCAUAUCUCAUAUGGUGUCUUAACUACGGAUUUAGAUGGUACCCUAUUAAGUGUGAAAGCUGCUGUUUCUAGAGCGUAUCCCCAAAAUCACAACGGUAGGUCCGACUGGCUCAUCAUUGAUCGAGCCAUGUCUAACAAAGUUCGAUUACGUCGCUCGGACACACCGUUACUCUGAGGUGUUCCAGGCGGCGUAAGUUGUGGAACAAUUCCGCAACUCUUUAGAUGAUUGCUAAACUCGUGGCUCAAAUACUCGCCUCCACGAUCAGAUCGUAAGGCCUUAAUUUUCUUGCCACGCUGAUUUUCAACUUCAUUCUGAAAUUCCUUGAACUUUUCAAAGGUUUUAGACUUGUGCCUCAUCAAGUAGACAUAGCCAUAUCUACUAAAAUCAUCAGUGAAAGUUAUGAAGUAUUGGAAUCCUCCUCUAGCCGUCGUGCUCAUUGGUCCGCAUACAUCACUAUGUACGAGUUCCAACAAGUCUACUGCUCUCUCAGGAAAUCCUGUGAAAGGCGUCUUGGUCAUCUUGCCUAGCAAGCAAGCCUCACAUGUCUCGUAUGAUUCAAAAUCAAACAAAGUUAGAAGUCAAUCAGAAUGGAGCUUUUUCAUGCGCUUUUCACUUAUAUGACCCAAACGAUAAUGCCACAAGUAGGUAGGACUCAAAUCAUUAGGCCGAGGCCUUUUAGCACUUACAUUACAGACAGGUGAACCAUCAAGAUUUAAAACAAAUAAUCCAUUCACAAUGGGUGCAAAAGCCAUAAACAUAUUAUUCUUAGAGAUCACACAACCAUUGUUUUCACUCGCAAAUGAAUAACCAUCCUUCAUCAAGCAUGAAGGAGACAAAAUGUUUCGACUUAAACUAGGAACAAAAUAACAAUUAUUCAACUCCAUAAUAAAUCCUGACAGGAGGUGGAGUUGCAUCAUCCCGACGGUCAAUGCAGCAACUCUUGCAUUAUUGCCCACGCGGAAAUCAACUUCUCCUCUUUCCACGCUUCUACUUCUUAUCAUUCCCUGCAUCGAAUUGCAAAUAUGAGCAACCGAUCCGGUAUCAAAUACGCAAGAAUAAUAAUUGUAUCAGCGAGAAAUAUGUUGUCUAUAACAUUAACAACAAGCGUACCUGAGGUAGAAGUACUCUUACUUCCGCCAUUCUUCAAGGAAGCUAGGUACUGCUUGCAGUUUCUCUUCCAGUGACCAAGUUCAUGACAGUAAAAGCACUCUUUGUCUGGAGCAGGUCCAGGUCUAGCUUUAACCUUGGGCGGUGGGUUUGGCUUGGACGUUCCAGCCUUGCCCUUCUUCUUCCAAGAAUUGCCCUUCUUCUUAAAGCUAGGCUUGUUCUGUAUAGCCAUCACAUGGCUGGUACUAGCGCUUUUCUUGAUGUCAGCCUCUGCGGUUUUAAGCAUGCCACACAGCUCAUUCAGACCCUUCUCCGUCCCAUGCAUAUGGUAGUUCGAGAUGAAGUUCCCAUAGCUAGGCGGAAGAGACGAAAGAAUGAAAUCAGUGGCCAACUCUUGGCCCAGUGGGAAGCCUAGCUUCUCCAACCGUUGAGUGUAACCAACCAUCUUGAUUACGUGUGGUCCUACUGCUGCGCCUUCUGCUAGCUUGCUCUCAACAAAGGCCUUAGACACAUUGAACCUUUCAGUCCUGGCCUGUGUUUGGAACAUGUCUCUAAGCACCAUGAUCAUAUCGUGCGUCUCAUGGUUUGUUUCGAACUGCAUCUACAGCUCGGGUUCCAUGCAAGCAAGCAUAAGGCAGCUUACUUCAAGGUUAGCAUCACAUGCUUUCUUGUAAGCAUUCUUAGCAGCAGCGGGUGCAUUAUCAGCAGGUUCUUCUGGUAGUGGGUUGUCUAGAACAUCUUCCUUUUUCUCAGCCCUGAGAACAAUUCUCAGGUUACGGAUCCAAUCCGAGUAAUUUAUUCCAUUCAACUUGUCCUUCUCAAGGACCGAACGCAAAGCAAACGGUGUAGUGCUGCUAGGUGCCAUUAAUCUACAACAAAGUAAUGCAAAAUACACUAAGACAAACGUAUCCAUGAUAGAGCAAAUCACAUUAAACUAUUUUAAUAGAAUCUACUCCCACUAAAAUCAAUAUUCCUCUAUUGAAACUUAGUGAUUCAGGAUCCACAACUAACAAGUCCACUAGUGAGCUUUAGCAUCACCGCUAGCAAACAAGGUAGAUCGGUAAGCAACUUUUGCUAAUCAUAUCACAUAUGACUCCUGUUGUUGGGUGACAUCUCUAUGUCUCGGCGCCCAACCUUUAUGCCCCAAAGUCCUUAACCAUUAAGAUGACCUUGUUAAGCAAACCAACCCUUAUGCGUGUAAGUGUCCGACACAAACCCGUCUAGUCAAGGAAAACUAGUGGUACCCUAAUUUUAUAGACCCACCACUAACUGUACAAGACAUGGGACGGUGCAAGUUUUAGUUGGGAGGGCAUACUAACUUAAACUUUGUGAGGGAUCGUUCUACUUCUAACAUCACAGCAUGCAGAAAGUAAAACAUAAACAGAAUAGCAUUCACACAGUUGUGACACAGUAUGGCCCGUUUCUCUUAUGGUGAUCUCCAUCUCCAUAGAAUCUGUUCACCAUGGUGAUCUCCAUCUUCAUGUUCCAUGUGCGCCAUCCUUCUAGUGAUGAGUCCUCCAAGAACUUAGAACAUGCUAUUACACCUAAUAGCUAGUAAAGAAGCUAGUAAUGAAGAUUACAUAGUUUAGUUGCUUGGAUCAUCACAGAUUGGUACGCAGACCAUUAAAUACAAUAAAGUGACAACACAUAUGGCUCCUGCCGUGUUGCCGUACGCGCGACACGCAGGUCACGAAUGAGUUACACACAUGCAUCACAUACACAAGGGGGCCAUACUGAUCACAAGAUACAUACAUCCUGCAAAACAGAGUUAGGCGUUCUAACGUUCCAAACUUCAGAGGCCCGAAACUCCAUCUUAGAGGCCGAAAUUGGGAAAUCUAAUUUCGCCGAAACUGACAAAGUCAGUCGUAAUCAUGUGUAACUUUUUCUGUAGAUCAAUUUUCAUAUAAAAUUUGCCCCGAUCCGAGAUCGUACCGAAAAGUUACGGCUGAUUUACCGAAGCAUAUGCAUACGGCAAAAAUCCCGACCCCGGCAGUAGAUCUCAUCUACUAUUGCACAUCUAAUGCGCCUGGCGUAUGACCCUGGAUUUCGAUUCGACCAAUCAUAUUGAUCUUCGCUCACUGCAACUGAAUUUACGUGUAUCACUUAACUCCGAUGGCGGAAACCGACCGGUAGGAGUAUGUCGUUACACUACCAUUGCAGCAAGAGCACGAAACCAGGACAUAGAUCUAACGGAAAACUCGCAUAUCUCCAUAUGCACACACCCCGAAUCCAAAACUAAGCAGCUACGGCUCUGAUACCACUGUAGGAAUACGAGGUAGGCUACACUAGCGCAAUUCAAAAAUUCUACCGCGUAUAACCAGGAAGAACUGCCGUAUAAGGAUCACGGGAUUACCACUCGAUUCACUACUGGUGCGGAAGAUGUAGAUAUGCGUCGAUGCAGUGAAGACGAUCACGUAGUCGUACGUAGUCGAUCAACGUAGUCGUACGUACGUAGUCGAUCACGUCCAGCAGCUUCUCAGCAGCUCGUCCACGUGCAACAAGAUCGCCUCCGGUGCCGCGGCUCGUCGUCGGCUCGUCGUGGCUCGUCGGCGGCUCAUCGGCGGCUCGUCCAAGUGCUGCAGGCGCAACACCUCCAAGGUAUCCACACGUGCAGGGAGGAAGCGUCGCAAGCCGGACUGCUAGAUCCGCGAGUUGCAACAGGCGAGGGCGUGGGAGGCGCGGCAGGUGUGUUUCGCCAAAAGGUGUAAACCCUAGGGUGCCCCCACCCCUCUAUUUAUAGAGGUUCCUAACGGGCCUCUAGGUCCGAGGCCCAUUAGUACUUCUAAACCUAAUCCAACUCAGAUGAGAUCCGAAUUGGGCUUCCAGCCCCUUAAGUGUGUGACCCUAUGGGUUCGGAUACGUAUAGACAUGGCCCGAGUACCCCUACUCGGCCUAAUAGUCGGUAGCGGCCUCUAGCAAGACGUGCCAACUCCUAUACGCACACGAAGAUCAUAUCAGACGAACCAUCACAACAUAAUAUACAUGCUAUUCCCUUUGCCUCAGGAUAUUUGGUCUAGCUUCAAGCCGACCGCUCUUUCUCGAUCCUGUGAUUCGGAAUCCCUUUGUAGGUUAACUCUUAACCGUACGUAGCAUGGCCAUGCAUUUUCGGAUCCGAUCACUCGAGGGGCCCAGAGAUAUCACUCUCAAUCAGAGAGGGGCAAAUCCCAUCUUGAUUGGCCAUGUCUCAUAGCAUGCUUCUUGACAAACCCGAAAGCUACCUUUAUAACUACCCUGUUACGGCGUAGCGUUUGAUAGCCCCUAAGUAGAUCGAUCCACAUCUAGAAUCCAUGCGACAAUCUCAGGUCUAAGGACAAAGCGUAUAUGUUGUUUAAAGAGAGAACUACUUCUCGUGUUGGGUCAGUCCUAGCACAUGUCUCCACAUGUGUCCAAUUAUUAGUUCAACAUCUCCAUGUCCAUGACUUGUGAAACAUAGUCAUCAACUAAUACAUGUGCUAGUCUAAUAUUUAUGUGUGUCCUCACAUGAACUCCGACUAGGGACAACUUUAGAAUAACCAUACAAGUAAAGAGUUUCACAUACAAUUCACAUAAUUGCAAAUCAAUUCAAGUAGCCUUCAAUGGAUAUUCAAUGAACACAAUAUACAAAUCAUAGAUACAAAUGGAAUAUCAUCAUCUCUAUGAUUGCCUCUAGGGCAUACCUCCAACAGUAAGGGCCCGGGCCCACCUCCAGCAACAGUGACACGACUAGGGAAUAUUCCGCUCCGCCUCGCCCGACCACGGGCGCAAGGGGUCGGAUGCGCCCGACCCCUCACCGCAAGGUUCUGCCUCGCCCGACCCUGGGCGCAAGGGGUCGGACGUGCUCGACCCCUCGCCGCAAGGCUCCGUCUCGCCCGACCCCGGGACGCUAGGUCGGACGCAUCCAGCCCCACAGGUCAAAGCUUCGCCUCGACCGAGGACAUGCGCGGACCUACAGACGAGGACGUAGAUUUUGUGGGUCCUCACCGAUCUCGCCAUAAAUGCAGAUGGGACGCGCAUGUCCGAAAUACGGCUCUGACACACGGAGAGGCGCCCGCACUCCUCGAUGCGACCCACCGGAAUGUUAGGCAGUGCACUGCUGCCACGACUGCACCAUCCUAAGCCCCCACUGUAACAUCCGUCAUAGGGCACUCAUUGCCCAUGCUACCUGACGGAGGAGGGUGCGCCGCCCGGUUUCCUGCUCGGCUUGGCAAGAAGGGCACAUCGGUCGCGCCCCCCAGCCAGCACGCGUGGCUACAGUGGUCAGCAUCGCCCGCGACGUGCACGGCUACAGUGGCCAGUCAUCAUCAUCAACUCGCACGGCUACAGUGGUCGGUCGCCACGCACGUCUCACGUGCUCGGCUACAGUGGCCGACCGCUAGGUCAUUGAUGGGAACCCACAGCAACCACCCCUCCUCGGUGGCCAUGCUGAUAGGACACAGAAAUCAGAAGGGAAGGUGGCAACCCCGGUGGCUCGGCCCGUCUCCUUGUGCUUUGCCUUCCUUGCUUACCUUUCUAACUUUUUACUUUCCUUACGCCCGGCUCAUUUGUAACCCCUGUAUCCUCCUUGCACUAUAAAAGGAGACCAGGGGGCCCGAGGGCAAAGGGAUCCAGGGAGAGACCGAACCCCAAAUUCACCCAAGUACGAACCAACCGAACCUCUAGACGAAAAACACCCACAGAGACUUGGGACCAGCUUCCCUCUCUCGCCCGUUUGUAACCCCUACUACAAACUUGGCACGAGUAACACGAGCAGCCUCCCACACUGGAUGUAGGGCUAUUCCUGCUCGAACCAGUAUAAAUCUCGUGUCCUCUCGUGCAACCAUCCGAGCCUUACGUGCAUAGAAACAAAUUUACUUGCCGAAGUCUUGACCUGUGAUUCUUGACACCGAUAGUUGGCGUGCCAGGUAGGGGGCCUAUGCGCGUACGACGAUCAUCACCGGCUUCGGAUGGCCAACCACGACAUCGGCUUCGCUCCCGGCUCCCACAUCCGCUUUGGGAGCCUGGACUUCCUCGCCACGGGAGAGGGAAUCGAGCUGAUUCCUUUCCUCGUCCUGCCCGCUCACCCCGUCACCUCCGGCUCCGCUGCCGGAACAGUGGUGAGCGGCCAGGCGCGCACCACGGGGCCUCCUUUGGAGGAGCGGCCCUUUGGCCUACGCAACGCCGCAAUGACUUACGGUCGUCUCCUGGCACGAUCCAUGAUCGUGCCACCCGCGAACAACGAGUUCGUGGGCGUAAUGGAAACGGCCUCCGACGCUGGUUCCGACAUCGGGAGCCACCACCCCUCGUAUGAGUGCUUCAUCACGACAACCAAACUCGACGAUGAACAGGUUCUCCACCCUUUCCCCCACCAAACGCAGCUUCAGACCGUAGGGAUUGCCCCAAGCCGGCCUCAUCGCACUCGUGAUGGUGGUAAUGUGGAGAGUCGCUGGUCAUAGCACCUUGCCGAUCAGCGCCCACUCCCUCGUACCCCCAUCCUGCUCUUCCUCAUCGUCGCUGAAAGCGGCGAACUCCCCUCAUCAGUGGUGAGAUUCAGUUUCUCCAGAAGGGACGCGACACACGCCUCUUCCUUCAUCGAAUUGCGCAAUCCCGAACGCGAUGCGUUACCCCCAGAUGAGGCCAUGGCCACAGCGAGGUAGGCACCCGGGGAAAUAAGAAUGUGACCGCCGAGGCAAUCAUCGGCGCACAAAGAUUCCCAGGAUAGGGUUCCUAAGUGGCGCUCCUAACCCAAGCAGAAACAAGGGUUUAUGUGGACACUAGCGUGGAACAAGCUAACCGACAGUAUUUGCGGUGGACACCGGCAACAGAGUGUUACCGGCGGGGUGAGCGUGGACGCCGUCGACCUGGAGUCCACGGCGGAGCGAAGGAUCUCGCUGGGGAUGGCUAGAUCCAAGUCGGGAUCACGGUCUCCUGCAGUGUCACCAGGGAGAGCGCAGAGCGGAAAACUUGGAGAGUUGGUUCCAUCUCUCAACAACUCCUGCCCGUGGCGCACCUGAUAAGGCACACAAAAAUAAAUAUGGAAAGUGGACCAGGUAUGAUAGUAAAAAUGAAACAAAGGUCCGAAGCAACUUGUCGCAGCCCACGAUGAAUGAUCUGGGUGGCGUUUCUCAGCAGAGCCCCAAACGAUUCAGACCUCCCACAUUAUCUGAAUGUUAUGGUGUGGAAGGAGUAAAAAGGCUAAGGGAGAUGGAGAUGCACAGGCCUGGGGAAGAAUUACCCCAUCUCGAGAAUCUGAAUGAGGAACUAAAAUAUGUAAAUACCAACAUUCUUGUUAACAGCAAUGUGCACGUUGAAACAAACCUGCAGAAAUAGUGCUUGAAAUUGCGGAAGGAAAGAAGGGAGAGCAAGGUGGUUCGGAAGCUACCGGCCCUGGGGCUGCCGGUCAACUGACAGGCGCGGAUACUAGCGCCUGUCAGGUGCCAUGAGUAUCCUAAGUUGGAACUACCGGGGCUUGGCAAUCCCCGGACAGUUCAGGAACUGGUCUGCCUAGUGCAGACUUACAGGCCAAGUGUGGUGUUCAUCUCCGAGACCAAACAGAUUGAGUUCUUCGUGAAAGGACUGCGCAAUUGUCUGGGUCUGAAUAAUGUUUUAGUAAUGUCUGGGAAAGGAAAGGGUGGGGGUCUUGCUUUGUUUUGGGAUGACAAUGUUACAGUAGAGCUGAAAAAGCUAGAUCCUCAUUUUAUUGAUGUAAACAUUGUAUUCCCACCCUUUGCAAUAAAAUGGAGGUGCACCUUUGUCUAUGGCGAGGCUCGUGUUCAAGAUCGCCACCUUAUGUGGGAUUUGAUGAGGAAAAUUAAACCCCUCGGGAAUGGUCCUUGGCUCAUGAUAGGUGAUUUUAAUGAAACAAUGUGGCAGCAUGAACACUUUUCUACAUCUCGUAGAAAGGAAAAUCAGAUGAGGAAUUUUCGAGAAGUAUUGUCAGACUGCAACCUCCAUGAUUUGGGUUAUAAUGGGCUGCCUUGGACUUAUGACAAUAAACAACAUGGGUCUAGAAAUGUAAAGAGCAGAAUUGACAGGGCCGUUGCUUGCCGUUCAUGGUCGAAUGCUUUUCCGGAAGCGUUUUUAAAGAAUAUUGCAAGUUUUCGAUCUGACCACCUCCCUCUACACUUAAGCCUGUUCAAUUCACAGAGUUACAGAAAAAUAAAUCAAUGCCAUAGGUAUGAGGCCUACUGGGAGAGAGAACCAAGUUUAAAUGAAACAGUCAAAGAAGCCUGGGCGCGAGGUGGAGAAAAUGAGAACCAGGGCCAGAUUGCAUCAAGAUUGAAAAGUGUCAUGACAGAUCUCAAAUCUUGGAGUAAACACACCAUUGGGUCAGUACCAAAGAAGCUGGACAAAUACAGGAAAAGAUUGGAAAUCCUAUCAUCCAACAAUGACCCAAUUAGCCACAGAGAAAGGAGAAAAGUCCAUGCCGAAAUGGAGGAAUUGCUGCAGAAGGAAGAAAUGCUAUGGCGCAAACGCUCAAGAGCUCUGUGGUUAAAGGAAGGGGACAACAAUACUAGUUAUUUCCAUAGGAAGGCAUCCUGGAGAGCAAAUAAAAAUAGGAUAGUAAGCCUCCAAGACAACAAUGGUCAGUUGGUGACAGAUGAAGUGCAAAUUGGUAAACGGACAAAUGGUUGCUUUACCAACUUAUUUACAAAAGAUGACUCAGUGGUGCUUGAACUAAUCAUCGACCAGCUGCAAAUGAGAGUAAAUGAAGAUAUGAACUCACAAUUGUGCAAGGAGUUCUCAAACGAGGAAAUUAGUGAUGCGCUCUUCCAAAUAGGACCUCUAAAAGCCCCUGGACCAGAUGGCUUUCCAGCUAGUUUUUUCAAAAAAACUGGGACAUUCUAAGAGAUGAUGUGUUCAAAGGAGUACAACACUUUUUUCUCCACUAGCUGUAUGCCUGAAGGGAUAAAUGAUACAUUGAUUGUACUAAUCCCAAAAAUGAAGGAUGCCAAAGAGCUUACAGAUUAUAGACCGAUCAACCUCUGCAGUGCCAUAUACAAGGUGGUUUCAAAGUGCUUGGUCAAUAGGCUACGUCCUCUCUUACAGGAUAUUAUUUCGCCAACACAAAGCGUGUUUAUUCCAGGCCGCAUGAUCACAGAUAAUGCUGUCAUAGCUUUUGAAUGCCUCUACGUUAUACAACAAUGCAAUGAUAAAAGAGGUGGCUUCUGUGCUUAUAAACUUGAUUUGGCCAAAGCUUAUGACCGUGUCGACUGGGACUACAUAGAAAAGGCUAUGGAAAAGCUAGGUUUUGGAAGAAAGUGGACAAAUUGGGUGAUGGAGUGCAUAAGAACACUCAAGUACUCUAUCCGGCUUAAUGGCUAGCUACUGGACUCUUUCUCCCCCUCUCGUGGUCUUCCACAUGGGGACCCCUUGUCACCUUACAUUUUCCUUUUGGUUGCAGAUGGUCUGUCUACUAUAAUCAACAAGGAAAUUACAGAAGGGCGUCUGAAAGAACUUCAUAUCUCUAGGCAUGCUCCUGGUAUCUCCCACCUCUUGUUCACUGAUGAUAGUCUUCUUUUUGUGGAAGCCAAUGCAGAACAGGCGCAGAUUGUGAAGAACAUCUUGAGCACCUAUGAAAGAAGUACGGGGCAAUUAAUUAGCAACAACAAAUGCAGUGUUCUAUUUGGCUGUGACUGUUUUGAUAGUAACAUUUCUGCGGUCAGCACCUGUUGGGAAACCGAAAAUAGAAGCUUUGAAGAUAAGUAUCUUGGACUACCUGUGCCAGAAGGAAGAAUGGUCAAUGGAAAAUUUAAGAGUAUAAAAGAAAGAUUCAGCAAGAGAGUCAAUGACUGGUCAGAGAAAUACCUUUCAUGUGGGGCAAAGGAGGUUCUUGUUAAAUCAGUUCUACAGAGCCUCCCCACUUAUGCUAUGAGUGUUCUCAAAUUCUCUACAGGUCUCUGUGAUGAUCUUGAGAAAAUGGUAAGAAAUUUCUGGUAGGGUGACGAAUAUGAAAGAAGAAAGGUUCAUUGGCUUUCAUGGGACAAAUUAUCUAGAUCACAAUUGAGAGGUGGCAUAGGGUUCAGCGAUCUCAAGUUACCUAAUCAAGUUCUGCUUGCUAGGCAAGCUUGGAGACUUCUGUCCUGCCCAAACAGCUUAUGUCCAAAAGUGUUGAAAGUGAAAUAUUUUCCGUUUGGAAACCUUCUGCUUCCCAAAAAAUUCCUCGGCAGUCUGGAAAGGGAUAGAACAUGGUCUUGAUCUUUUAAAACAAGGUGUCAUUUGGAGAGUCAAUAAUGGACAUGGAAUUAAGAUUUGGAGGGAUUUUUGGAUUCCCUGAUCAGACUCCCCAAAAAUCUCAAGCAAGGCAAAAAGAUCUAGGCUUUGGAAAGUGGCGGAUCUAAUGCUCCAAAAUCAAAGAAGAUGGAAUGAACCCCUCAUGAGACAAACUUUCCUGCAUCAUGAAGCUGAAGAAAUCCUUAGUAUUAGGAUCCCAGAUACUGAAGGAGAUGAUAUUUUUGCAUGGCACUUUGAGAAAAAGGGGAUAUUUACAGUUAGAAGUGCAUACAAGCUUGCAGAAGAGUGAGAUCCUAAGAAAAAUGUGGUAGCAGUGUCUCUAGGGAUAGGAAAAUUUUUUAUGCAAUUUGGACAACACCGGUACCUCAAAAGAUAAAAGUAUUCAUGUGGAAACUUACUCUCAAUGGUCUUGCUGUACAAACUAAUAGGUAGAGACACCACUUGAUUACUGAUGCGACCUGCUCAAUAUGUGGCAUGGAAUCUGAACAUGCACACCAUGCCAUGACCUGAUGCACAAAACCUGUGGCCUUAAGACAUGCACUACAGAAUUCAUGGGACCUCCCCGGUGAUUCUUUUUUAAAUAACAUAGGACCUGAUUGGAUCCUAGUCCUACUUAAUAGUGCCAGCAAAGAGCAUCAAUGCUUUUCUGGAGGGUCUGGCAUCACAGGAAUGGUAUCGUUUUUGGGAAAGAGGAUUGAGGGAUAUGGGUACCCCACGAGUCCCCACCGAUCAGGAUACUAGUCGGACCUGAUAAGUGGGCCCGCCUGACUAAGGCGUGCAGGUCAAGGUCAUGAAGCUACUUGGAGUACACGUAAAGGCAACUAGACAGUCCAAAUCUACACGGACAUCAUGGGACGCGUUUUGUAAUCCGACUCAGGUUGUUUUCCAUGUAAAGACUGAGUAGAUUAGAUUUAAACCGACUUGUAACUCUUGGUCGCCAGACUAUAUAAGGCGACCAAGGGUGCCUCCUAGGGGCAACGGAUAACAGAACGUCAAUUGAGAUACAAGCAAUACAAUCCACGGAUAGAGGACGUAGGGUAUUACUCUCCGGAGGUCCGAACCUGUCUAAAACCCUCAUGUCUCGUUCGUGUUCUGGCGAUUACCUUCGAGUUCUUGGUCUUGCAAUCGCCCUCAUCUACAAAUCAACCACUUGGGUAACCCCCUGGUGGAUUGCCGGGAUUAUAAAUCUGACAGUUGGCGCGCCAAGUAGGGGUGGUUGCGAGAUGCUUUUUGCGACCACGAUGGCAUCGAAUCCCGGUGUUGUUCUUCCUGAGAGCAUGAAGGACUUCCUUGCCAACUCGGUGCAGAUGCAAUUUGGAACCAUACUAGCGGAUUUAGAUCCGACCGCUUUUUCCAUCAACUCGGCGGCUUUCGUGAACUCGGCGACUUUCGUCGACUCGGCAACUCCUGCCGACUCGGUGACUUCCGUCAACUUGGCGACUCCCAUCGACUCGGCGCCCUCCAUCGAUUCGAUGUCCACCAACUCCAUCCCCGUUGGAUCUAUUCCAGUGGGAUAAGUUCUCCAUCCAAGGAUCAUCAUGCCACCUGCCCUGCAAGUCGGUGAAUUUUCUGUGGCGGAACCGCCCAACUUAAGCUGGUUUAAGUGCGCCUAAUCGCUGUCGGAACAGCAAUUAUCCGAAACGCACCUAAAACAGCAUAAGUUCGGUAGUCCGUCGGGUGUCCCUAGGACUCCUCGAAGGAUCCACGGCGUGUCUCAUAACCAUACAUCAGGAUAAUGUCCGCGAUGAGAUAAUAUCAACAAACAUUACAUUUUUACAUACAUAUAUAAAAGGUACGAGUUAUUACAGGACCUAAGUUGAAACAAACUUAGUGAUGCAGUGUUAGACAAGCUCUAAGAUUUAAACAUAAAUAGUUCAGGAGAGGAUGCGCAAGUAGACUUUUUCUCUAGGGUAUUGUGAGACUCAAAUCAAUACCCUAGGGCUUCGGGGUCUCCUCUUCUGUAGACUCCUGUGGAGCUUCUGAAAGAUAACCACAAGGGGAAAACCCUGAGUACGGGGUACUCAGCAAGUCUUACCCGACUAACCAAUAUAAUAGUUUUCUUUGGAAUGCAUGCUAGCUUUUGGGUGUGCUUGGCUAACACAAUUUUUGCAGAAAAGCUUACUACGAGUAAAGCCUUAGUUUUAUCUUUUACUUGGGUUAAGUUAUUACCUAACCAUUCUAAAUGAUAACAGAAGUAAAACAAUCAUAGCUGUUAAAUCAUACAUUAGUUGAUAACAGAAAGAAUACAUAUUGCAUGAAUUGAUACUACGAUGCUCAACAGUGAUCAAGUGCAUUCAUAACCGAGAAUUGCGGCGAUCCGGAUCUAAUUACAUCCUGCAGGAGAGUACCCUGAUCACCAGCGUUAUACGACUGUCCAGGUCGUAUCUAACAACCUCUCGAUUAGCAAUCUCAAUGAUUAGGAAUACGACUACCCGGACCCAGGGAUGCACCCCCACAUGGGACCCCACGUCUGGCCCGAUCACCAUGUGAGUUUCAGGCUACACCCCUGCCAAUCUCCAGCACGUCAAGCGCGGGUACGAAGUAUUCCUGAUCACAGAGUUUACAAAUCUACUGGGCUUUACUGGUCCCAUACCCAGUAAGUGAUCAGACGCUUAUCACUUGAUCAAAGGUUAAGACAACGAAUCGGGCCUUAACCAAAUUAAUCUAGCAGACAGAACUACAUCUCUAGCUUCUGUCCGUUUUCACUUUCCAAGUUAUCCUUCAUAAGCAACAUGUAUGACUUAAGAGUUUUCCUUAAGGUUGGUAAACCAAGCAUGUAAGCAAGUAAGGAAUUCUAGACUUGGGUAUCUUCUAAGGUUUGAACAAGUGGCAAAGAUGUCCUUAAAACAAGGCAUGAUCAUACACAAGAAUAGGUCUCAAGCAACUCCUAAACUUAGUGCAUACAUAUAGCAAAUAACCUAUAUUAAGUCACAUGAAAUAACGACUCCAAAAUAGAUAGGUAUAAAUGCACCGGGGCUUGCCUUGUUCGUUAAAAAGAUUAGUAAUCUCUGACGGGUGAGCUUCACAGGGAACUAACUCAAACACUUCUUCAGAUUCUGAAGGUCCUUCUGAAAAUUCCCAAUAAUCUCCUUCCGGUGCUUCGGGAUCUACGGUAUAAUACAUGCAGGGGUUAGAAUGCAAAAUUUUUGAAUAACAGACUAUACAACUUUCCUUCAUGAUAAAGUUGCAAGCCAACAAGGACUAUACGACUUAUCAUGAUAAAGUUGCAAGUCAACACACAAAAAUCUAAAAAGAUUAACCUACAAUUUUAUUUUUCUUAUUUAACCCUACUUAUAGCUUUUUCUUUUAUUUUUAGAGAAAGUUAUAAUUAUUUUCUAACCUGAAAAUCUAAUUUCCUAUGGGUUAAGCAUUAUUUGUGAUUAAGAAAGUGUUAUUCAUAUUUUAUACAUUUUAUAAAUAUUAAGUAUUUAUUUAAUUAACUUAAAAGGAAGGCAUUAAAUAAAUACCCAAAUUUUUAUUAUUUUUUCUAGGGUGUAAAAAUUUUAAUGCAUAAAGGAAAAUAAAACAAGCCUAACAAAAUUGGUUUCACUAAUUUUGGACACUCCUAGAAAUUUAUGUGAUUAAAAUGGUGUAAAACGAAUUUAAACGAAUUAUUUCACUAAAGGAAAUCUAAUUUUUCCCGAAAUCACCCGGAAAUACUUUUCUUACUCAACCCCUCUCUACCCUCUCUCACGUACACUGGGCCCCACGGCGCGGACCCCACCUCUCCUAUUCAUUUCUACCCGCCGGCCUCUUUUCCUCUUAACGGGCCUCGUGGGCCGAUUUCUUUUUCUUUUUCUUCUUCCGGCCCGACACCGGCCCACGGCCUUCUUCCUUUUUUUUUCCUUCUUCUACCGCGACUCCGGCCUGCUGGUUGCUUCUGGGCCCUCGGCCCUUUUUUUUUUCUUUUCCGACCGACCUGCGCGUACUCCACUGGGCCUCCCGACCACGGCCCAACCGACGGCCGCGCCACUCCGGCCUCCUUCUCUCCUUCCCUUCUCACUGUCGCGCGCACUACUGGGCUCCUAAGCCGCGACCCAGCAACCGCUUGCGCUCGGCCGGCCUGCUUCCGUUCCCCCCCCCCUUUUCUCUUCAUUGACGCGCGGGCCCAAACGCCCAGACUCUUCUUCCUCCUCCCGCCAAAACGCGGCCGCGACAGGGGGCGGCGCGACUCGCCGGCCGGCGCCCUCCUGGCGGUAGGACUAGGCCAAGACACCACCCCUACACCUUUACGCACCCGCGCGCAGCGACAGCUCCCCGGGAGAUGGCCGGAGCCAUCCCAUCCACGGCGACGGGCGGCGACUCUCUCGGCUGGCCGUGGCUACUCACGACGACAGCAUAACCUACUCAAACAUCUACCUCUACACCAUCCUAGGACCCUAAGGACUCGCCUACGACUACUAAAGAAGGAAGGGGAGCAGCGCAAGGUGGUUCUCACCGUGAGCGGGCGGCGCGACGGCGGGGGACAGAAACGACGGCGAGCACGAUUACUCCGGCAUGGAUGUUGGACAACAACUGGUUUAGGGUGUAGCUGGGGUGUCUGUGGAGGAGUGGGCGAGAGGAAUCGACGGGAGGCGAGACGUGGCGGUGGAAUUUUGCUCAGCGGCGGUGUUUGACAGAGGAGCGCUGGCGGCGGUAAAAAGGACGACGGUUAAACGGCGGCGCGGGAGCGGUAGAUAUUCAAGUGUUUCACCGCGCGCAUGGGCGACACCGUGGCCUACCCAUAGGCUUGCGUGGUGAGGAGGUGGCCUAGCUAAACGCGCUGGCGUACGACCGACGACGGCGGCGGCGACACGUCUUGGUGCUCUGUCACCGCUCCUCUAACGCCCGGAUCUUCAGAGUCGAAAUUUAGUCGAUCUCCAAUCCGACGGCCUCCAAGCGCCUUAACAGAAGUUGAAGAUAAACUCAAACCCGUCAUCUUUUGUUUUGGCUCUGACUCGAGAUAAUCAUCAAAUAUGAUUGAAUUUUGAUUUGUUUCUUGGGUUCCUUUGAAAUUCACUGAAACUGACAUUCAGUUCGUCAGUCACCGACAGUGGUGUUGAUCUUACUUGGUGAACCGAUUCAAUGACCCAAAUCUUGUUUUCCCAGUCCAACUUCUUCUCAAACGUGUUCUAUAAUCUCCCAAGUUUCCAUUUUGCCCAAGAACACCUACCCUUCUUGAUCUACAUUGCUCUGAAUUCAAACUCAAAGUUAAUGUCAUAUUGCUGUUUCAGACUUAACAAAAAUUCAGAGUGUCAGUUAACUUGUGACAAUGUGCUGACUUUGAGCUUGAGUUUGACUUCCUUCCCUUCACUGUUCCUGGCCAACAACACUUGAAUAUUGUAGUCCAAGGUUCAUACUUCAAUAUAGUGUAGUUGUCCUGGUGCACUUAUUUGAAAAAUUCUCCAGAAAUCAAUUUCUAAAAUGGACUCUGAGGCUGUUUCCUCUGAAUCCCUAUUUUCGGACGGUGAACAGUAAACUGAGUUUUUCUUUUUCUUUCUUUGAUUCCUCUGAGAUAUUUAGCACUGUUUCAAUUCCAAAUUUUUGAUCCUUCAGUUCCAAACACUCCUAUACUUGUAUUCCACAUUUUUGACAAAUUUUUCUGAAUUUCAAAUUUGAAAUUCAAAUUUCGGCCAAAUUUGACCCGAAUUUGAUUUUCGGCCAAAUUCUUUUUCUUUUCUUCUUAAUUUGCUUUUAAAUUUUCCAAAGUCACUUACAUGACUAGCUUGGCAACUAUUACAUUUUCUUUCUCCGAGAAGAUUCUAGAUCUACUCGUCGGCGACCACCCACCCAUGCCCUCCAACCUGAUCGCGGGGCUAGAUUGCAUCAGCAGUACCAUCACUGAGUGCUUAUAGCUGUCCGAGGUAGCGUUGCAUGAAACUAGGUUGCGCAGGGUUUGUCCCGUGUCCCCUUCGAUCUACAGAACUCGGACGCUGAGUACUCCGCCAAGCUUGAUCAAGUUUUUCAGAUCCAAUCUGAAAAACCCGCCCAAACCCACCUAAUUUCUGGAUUGUGGUGAAUUUCAAGUGCCUCAGAUCAUCCUAACGCCAAAUCCAUAUGGAAACAACGAUGAGAGCAACACCUCCACACCAGUCCGAGAAGUUUUCAUAGUCUCCGCUGAUGAGCCACCUCGUGAUGGUGCAACAGAUUCUCAAGAAGAAGGCCGUAACACCAGGAACCAGAAUCGCGCGGAACGACGCCAACAGGAGCAAGCCGGCGCCUGACAGCAACCUGCCGCUAAUACAAAUGCAGCAGGUGACCGGCGCCAGCAGCCACGCAAUGAGCACGACAACGUCGACCAAGGUGGUGCUCGGGAAAGACACAGGCACUGUGUGCGUGCCUGCAACCUAUUAACCGACCUCGAGAAGGCCGGCCACAAUGUCUUCACUACACCCCAGGCCAAUCUAGGGGCUGCCGUUGCCGAGCUGGAAAAUCUUCCAAAUUCAGACCAAGUUCAACGGGCUAAAGCGUGACUCCAAGCCGCCAACACCCAGAUUGAAGAGCGGAUCCACAAACGAGCUGCACACUCCCGAUCUACAUCAUCCAGACACUCCCGAAACUAGUCUGGGCAUAGCAGAUCUGACCACCACCGAGGCGACCGUGCUGGUGGUCGGAUGGACCCAAUCCACGAAGAAGAGGUGGAGCAAAACAAUGUUCAACCCGCCAACCCACCAGCCAACAAUAAUACUAACACACCAGCCAACCCUCCCGUCAACAUCAAUGCCAACCCUCAAAUCAACAUCAAUGCCAACCUACCAGUCGACAAUAAGCCAACCCACUGGUCAACGUCAACGCCAACAACGGCCGUCAAUGUAACAACAAUGACGAUCGCGACCAUGGCAGGAGAGGCGAAGCUGAUGACCAUGGCCGACAAGAACGGCAAUGUGAUCUUCGUGAUGAGCUGCGUGAAAUCUGUCAAAAUCGUGACAUACGCGCCGACCUAAAUUACCGCCACAAUGAGCGCAACGAGCACGAGCUCCGGCGCCGUGCCGAAUACAAUCGCGACUACGGGGUUCCUGUGCCUAACCGUGAUGCUAAUUGUGAGGAUCAACAUCGCCAACAAGAUGAGAUGCGCCGCCACACCGACUACGACCGCACAUAUGGCAUCCCUAAAAAUGCCUACAACCCGCCCAAAUGCGACUACGAUUACGAAGAUGCUUACUACCCGCCUAGACAAAACUACGGCGGAUGCAGCAGGGCUCCUCCUGUCCAGUACUACCUUGAUGAUGAUUACAACGAUGACAUGGCAUUAGACAGCUUUGCUGCCUUCACCCCGCACCUUAGGGCCGUUGAUUGGCCGCCCACAUUCAAACCUGCCAUCAACAAAAAGUAUGACGGUCGCUCCGACCCCACUAUCUAGCUCAAGACGUACAACAUUGCGGUGAGAGCUGCCAAUGACACCUACGACCAGAUGGUCGCUUAUUUUCCUGUGGUGAUGGGUGGUGCUCUGCUCCUAUGGCUAGAAAAUCUUUCCCUCAAUAGCAUCGACAGUUGGGGUCACCUCGCUAGGGCUUUUACUCAGAACUAUCAAGCCACCUACAGCCGACCUGGAAACAAGGAAAAACUUGGCCAAGUCCAUCAAAGGAUAGGUGAAAAUAUUCGAGACUACGCCAACUGCUUCUUUGAGAAUCGCAACAAGCUGGCUGGCAUUGAUGACCGUGAUAUCAUCUGGUACUUUCGCUUUGGCUUGAUGAACUAGAAGAUGUUCGAGAAACUGUACGAGGUUGCCCCUAAGACGGUCGGGCAGAUGAUGGAAGUUGUCAACACACAAGCUGACAUCGAAGAGGCGGCAAAGUUUAGUUCUAGAAGCACUGCCAAAACGACGACUAUGAUCAGCCAAUCCAUGACAACUCUACAAAAGGGCCCCAGAGGUCUACGCUGCUGAAGGCGACCCGACCAGGAAGAGCACUUUCGAUAGGGAAGAAUUUGAUGGAACCCUCAGCGGCCCGUGCCCUUUCCACAAGGACGCACGUCAUACUCUCCGGGACUGCAUAGCCCUGAAGAAAGAACUCACCGCCCCGGUGGAAUACAAGCGACCACAUCACAACGACUAUCAUCCGGACAACAACAAGCGAGAUUAUCGUAGCUGUGAUGAUGACCGUCACCAAGAUGACCAUGACAACCGCAACAACAGGGACCGUGACAACCACAACGAUCACCACCAUGAUGACCGCAAUGAUUGCAACAACAAUAGGCGCGACGACCAUGACAACAGAGAAGAACGCCGUGACCAGCUAUAGCAAGACGUCCAGUGGCCCAACACCGACCAGAACGGGGACUUCCAGUGACAUCGAGGCCAACCCUUUCAAGGUGGAUGCAAUUAGAAAUAUGACAAAACCAUCUAACAAGAAAGACGUCAUGAAACUCACCGGCAUGAUGGCGGCCCUUAGCCGUUUCAUUAGUAAACUUGGAGAAAAAGGUCUGCCCUUCUUCAAGCUCCUCAAAAAGGCAGACAAAUUUGUGUGGGAUAACGAGGCUAGCAAAGCACUCGAAGAGCUCAAAGCUUUCCUCACCACUCCUCCCAUCAUGACGGCCCCGCCGACCAACAAACACUGUACCUCUACAUCUCCGCAACAACGCAUGUUGUUGCACCGUGCUAGUUGUGGAGCGCCAGGAACCCGGCCAUACCUAUGCAGUGCAAUGACCGGUAUGUUAGUUAGCGAAGUCCUUAGUGGCCAAGACCUGCUAUACCCAGGUGCAGAAACUACUCUAUGCAGUGUUGAUAUCAUCAAGAAAGCUACGUCACUACUUCCAGGCGCACAAGAUCUGUGUGGUAUCCUCAUUCCCCAUUGGCAAAAUUCUCCACAAUAGGGAUGUCAAUGGCUGAGUUGUCAAGUGGUCUGUGGAGCUCGGCAAAUUUGACAUUGAUUUAUGUCCACGACACGCUAUCAAGUCGCAUAUUCUGGAUGACUUCAUGGCCGAGUGGACAGAGAUCCAGAAGCCGCCCUCCCUGGAGAGGCCAAAACACUGGACCAUAUACUUUGAUGGCGCCCUCAACCUUGAUGGAGCCAACGCGGGGGUUCUGUUCAUAUCCCCCAAAGUCAAGCAGCUCAAGUAUGUGCUCUAGAUACACUACAAGGCCACCAAUAAUGGCGCCGAGUACGAAGUUCUCAUCCAUGGCCUGUGCAUCGUUGUUUCUUUGGGAAUUAAACGCAUCUUUGCCUACGGCAACUCCAAGGUUGUCAUCGAGCAAGUCAACAAGAACUGGGACUGCACCAAGGAAUCCAUGGAUGCUUACUGUGCGGAAAUCCGCAAACUCGAGACUCACUUUGAUGGAUGCUUACUCCUGCAUAAUUCACUCGGGAACAUGUGGCAAUCAUGCCGCCUCGGGAACUUUGGUCGGCAAAGCCUUCCGUUCUGGUUUUUACUAUCCAAUAGCAGUAGCUGAUGCAAAGGAGCUCGUCCAAUGAUGCAAAGGGUGUCAAUUCUUCUCCAAGCAGCAGCAUCUUCCAGCUCAGGCCCUGCACACCAUCCCACCAUAAUGUCCUUUCGCAUGCUGGGGGCUGGACAUGGUCGGACCCUUCAAAAUCGCUUCGGGUGGCAAUACACACAUUUUCGUGGUGGUUGACAAAUUCACAAAAUGGAUUGAGGUCAAGGCCGUCACCAGCAUUGAGUCGACUAAAGCAGCUCAGUUUGUGGAAGAAAUUAUGCACCACUUUGGAGUGCCUAACAGAAUCAUAACUGACCUUGGCGCACAGUUCCCAGGCUUUGAGUUCUAGGAUUUUUGCCAAGACAACCUCAUCGAUGUGUACUACUCCUCAGUAGCACACCUAUGCUGCAAUGGUCAGGUUGAGCGUGCAAAUGGGAUGGUCCUCCAGUCCCUCAAAUCAUGCAUCUUUGAUGACGCGUCCAAAUAUGCUACCAAGUGGCUACGCAAGUUACCCCAUGUCAUCUGCCUAAGAACAUAGAAGAGUCGGGCUACCGGCUACACCCCUUUCUUUAUGGUUUAUGGCUCAGAAGCUAUCUUGCCAUCUGAUGUGGCCUUUGGUGCCCCUCGCAUCCAGUACUACAAGGAAGGCGAGGCAUAAAAAACUUGGCAAGUCGACAUCGACAGCCUUGAAGAGCAUCGAGUGGCGGCCCUCAUCCAGCAUGCACGCCAUGAGCAGCAAAUACGAUGCUAUAAUGAUCGUAAUAUCAAGGAACGCUCCUUCAACGUUGGCGACCUAGUGCUUCACUGGGUCCAGUAGACUAAGGGCAUGCACAAGUUGGCCUCACCCUGGGAGGGCCCCUUCAUCAUCAAAGAAGUCAUCCAACCAGGCACCUACUGACUACAAUGGGCAGACGGCUCUGACGUCCCCAAUCCAUGGAACAUUGAGCAUCUACGAUGCUUCUACCCUUAGAAUAUAAAGCUAUGUACUCUGUUUCCCUUUUUAUCUUGAAUAAAUAAAACCUCUAUGGUUCUUUUUGCGUACCUACUGCCUUUCUGUUCUCUUUCUUGACCUGUCCUUGACGCUCAGGGGCCGCCCAACCUGUUCAGCAGUCUGCUCGCUUAAAGCUAGAGGGCUUCCCCUGGCGCCGACCUCUGGGUCAUGCUUUUGCCUCCUCCCCCUCUCGAGGCUAUACGACUAACUCGUGUAGUCGGCGUCCUCGUUAGCGAAACAUAGACAACCUCACGUUCAUCCCUCCUACAAGCUCGAGAUCCGCUCUCAGCAGGACACUGGUCAAAUGAGGCUACAUGCUUAGAGGCUAUAGGCCUCAGCUACACGCUAUCAUGUUGUAUAUGCUAAGGCAGGGACAAAAUUUCUUAUUUCAUCUCAUACAAACAAGAACAUCACAUUCACCAUUGCAUGAAAUAGUUUAAUACAUUUUCCUUGUUUACUUUACACGUCCAGAUCAUUUACAAUGGUUUCUGUUGCAUCAUGGUACUGAUCAGCAACUUCAAGAAUUUUGUUCUCAUCAAAGUCGACUACGAUUCCAGUAGCGGCACGCUCCAAGGGAGUUGUCGGGAAGUGCGAAGCCAACAAUGCAAAAGUGUUGUUCAUACAUUCAAUGGCAGUAUCCUUCACCAACUUCUUCAGUUGACUCGGCGCAGCUUUGAGACGGUCCCACAGAGGUGUUGGUUUGGCUAGAUCAGUGUCUGCCUUGAUCAUGUCCAUUACAUAGCCAGCCGACUUUUGCAACCUCCCUAGCUCUAACUCCAACCUUGCAAUUACAUGUUGGUCAUUCUGGAGGUUACUUACAACAUCCUCUAAGCAAUGCUCGAGGUCCCUGCGUGCAUUGGAUUCAAAGGCUAGCUUCUGGGAGACCGCAUACUCACGAUUCACCGUUGUGUCGCGUUCUUCCAGAAGGCACCUGUUGGAGUCUUCACACUCCUUGAGGUCCUACCGAAGCCUUUCCUCUCUCUUCCUGGAGUCUGCAUGACCGUCAAGUUUGCUUCAGCACAACAAUACCCAAGAAAAAACAUGAUUUAACAAGUCGGUGUUACAUACCUGACAGCUCCGAGCUAAUGAUAUCCUUCUCAGCUCGCAGCUCAGUUUUGAGACGCGCCUUGGCGCCCUUGCUCUCUUUGAGGCUCUGCUGCAGCCAGGCUAUUUGCGCCACAGAAUCUGCAGAAUCAACAGAAGAUUGGAUCAGCAUCAAGAUUGCAAAAGCAAAGUUUAUUAAAACAGAUCGGCACAUGGUACCUCUCAUGAUUCCAUCAUGCACUGUCCUCUCAAUGUCGUAGCGAGAUUGCUGCCUCUGGAGAUCUCCUUUUGCCUUUUCAAGCUCAACCUCCAAGUAGGCCACCUUGAAACAAAGGCACUCGGCAUGGAGGACCGCCUCCAUCCUCUUGUUAGCAUGAUCCGCCAAACCCUGUUCAAAAUCGUACUAUCAGAGAUCUUGGAACCUAUGUUCCGCAACCUGGCAAUAGCUGCCCUAUCCUACGCCAUGUCCACAGCAAGCUCAGCCUCGGAGAAGGGGAAGGCGUGGGGAUCAUCCGUUCCACCCAAGGGGGGCAAGUCAGGCAAUGGAGCAUUCAUGGGCGCCCCACCCUGCUGAGGAUUGGCCCCAGCGUCCUCGACGUCCUCCUGGGAUGUGUCCUUGACCUCGAUGUCCUCCCCAGCUGCGUCCUCAACCUGGAUGUCCUCCCUAGCCGCAUCCCCGACCUCGAUGUCCUCAUGGGUCUCCCCCUCGACCUCGACUUCCUCCUCUGUCUCCUUCGUAAUCCUGGAGCCGGCCAUGCUGUCGUUAGUGGCUUUAGCGCCGACCUCAACUUGUUGCGAUGCAGGAGUUGGUGCAACCUCUUCAGUGCGAUCACCCACGACAGUCCCGACCUCCGCUGCUGGCGACUGCUCGGCGGCGCGACCGCUGGUGGCCUCAGUCUAGCCUGAGCACCUAUGCAGCUGGGCGCUACUAUCAUCAGACCACAUGCCAGCCCUGGAUCAUCACCACAGCAAGCAACCCACACAUACGUCAGACUACUAUCCCAAGCAUAGAAAGUACAAAGGCGGCAACACUUAGAUAGUGCUCUUCUUCCUCAAGCGCAACUUUGGGCACAAUUUUUGAGGCGGUGUAGGCGCAUCUCCGAUGGUGCCGCUCUGCAUCUUCUCUUUCAACGCCUCCUUAAGGUGUGCUACGUCAGCCAUGAUGGUCCUCGCAGGCUCCGACUCCUUGUCCAGCGCAGCCGGACUCGGCGCGUUGGACCUUGCCUCGCCGCCCGACCUAGCAGCGAUAGUAGUACUCGACACAACCUUCUUUCGGCCGGUCAAGUUCUUCUUCCUCCCAAUCGGCUGGGACACCUUGGAAAGAGGCCGCUUCUCCCCAAGCCUGCCAGGUUUGCUGCCCUGCACCUUGAUCCCCACCACCUUCGCCGGUUGCACUAAUGGCAGGCCCAAAAUACGACUCAGAGUCAAACUCAAGGCUGGGCGGCGAGGCGACCGGCACGUCAACCGAACAGAUCUUGUGGGGCGCCCCUUGAGUCCCACCAGGUAAUGGCGGAUGGCAAAAUAAAUGAAUACAUACUCACCGAGGUAGGCAAUGGCCUCCUCAACGAAGAGGCCUUAGGGGUGUUCUGGUUGCUGACCUCGCCCUUGAACAACCUAGAUACCCGAAGAAAACCUCUUCAUCGGACACCUCACCAGCAACCUCCUGAGUCGGAUCAUUCAGACCCGAGUACUCGUACAACAGAUGUACUCGGUAUUUGAUUGGCUAGGUGGCCCUCUGAUAGAAGUUGAUGCCAAUAGCUGCAGGCGUUAGUCCCUACACCUUCAGGUCAGCGAUCUUCUCCAACAACUCAUCUACUUGGACCUGUUCCUCCGAGGUCGGCUGAUUCUGCCACUCGACUACUGACACAGGCCCAAAACCCGUACACGGCGGCAGCUCGAGCUUCUGAUUGGUGAUGAGAAACCACUCGGCAUGCCACCCCUUGUGAGAAUCCUUCAACUGAAGGUCAAAGUACUCAUGCACCUUCUUGGGAUGCAAUGAGAAUCCAGCCCCCCCCCCUCCAAUAACCCUAUCCUUUCUACCCUUAGUAUUUACGGGCUUCAACUAAUAAAGAUAGCACCUUAGAUUGAAGUGGGGGGAUGCCUAAGUAUGCUUUGCACAAAUGAAUGAAGAUAGAAAUAUCCAGAAUCGAGUUAGGGUUAAGGUGUACCAACUCGAUCUUGUAAUAAUGGAGGAGUCCGUGAAAUAAAUCCCAGUGGGGAUCCCAAACCCACACUCGAAGAAUGGCGUGAAGACCACCACCUUCGCCGUAUCCUCGGACGAGAACUCCUGACUAGCGAUGGGCUUCUAGUCGAGCGGUUCUUGCGGACCAAGGAGCCCAUGGUUGACGAGGGCCUGGAUCCACUCCUACAUCAUCAUGCUCUUCAUCCACACCGAGGAAGGAGUUAGGACAUUGGACUGUGCCAUUGAUUCGCGAGCUUGAGUUUUGGAUCUAAAGUGGACUAGGGUUUUGAUUUGCAUAAGGUGGCGUGGCAGCUCAGGCGGUAGUGGUGGCGCGUGCGUGAGAGGACUAUGGAAUGUGGCAGUGUAACCUAGGGUUCGCGAGUGCGGUGGCGGAGCGCUCAGUAGGCUCGAGGUGGCGGCGCUGCGAAAGGUUGAAGAUAAGAAGUGAAUAACGGCUUCGUGCCACUCGUGCUCUUAAAGGAGAUGAUAGUGUGAGUUACGAACGAAAAUUGCAGGCCUUUUGUUAGCAUUGUGCAAUAUGCCGAGCGAAAAUUUCGGAUCCUUCCAUUAGCGUCAUCUGCACAUGAUAGAAUUUGCAGGAUCUUCAUUACAGACAUGCCUCUGAGCCUUUAUCACACCUUGUCCUAAGGGCCAGACACCUAACUCUACUCGGCGCGCCUUAGUGGCUCUGCCAGUUCUUGUCCUCGAGGGCUGGGCACCUUAACACUACUCAGCGUGCCUUAACGGCUCCGCCAGUCCUCGUCCUCGGGGACUGGGCGCCUUAACGCUACUCGGCGUGCCUUAGAAACUCUGUCAGUCCUCGUCCUCGGGGGCUGGACACCUCAACUCUACUCGGCAUGCCUUAACGCUCCGCCAGUCCUCAUCCUCGGGGGCUGGGCGCCUUAACCCUACUUGGUGUGCCUUAACGGCUCUGCCAGUUCUCGUCCUCGGGGGCUGGGCGCCUUAACACUACUCGGCGUGCCUUAACAGCUCCGCCAGUCCUCGUCCUUGGGGGCUGGGCACCUUAACCCUACUCAGUGUGCCUUAACGGCUCCACCAGUCCUCGUCCUCGGGGGCUGGGUGCCUUAAUUCUACUCGGCGUGCCUUCGCGGCUCUGCCAGUCCUCACCCUCAAGGGUUGAGCGCUUAAUUCUACUCGGCUUGCCUUCUCGACACAACCAGUUCAUAACCUCAGGGACCAGCAUACCAGAACCAACACAGCACGUCUCUGUGGCCUCACACAAAAAGCCCCCAGAAGAAGACACAAAGGCAUAUUUUCAUUCAGCUAGAAUCAAAUUCCUAGCUUUACAUAUCACAAAGCGUGUAUGAACAGCUCCAGGAUAGACGACAUUACAACACAAAUGAAGAAAAAAGUGCGAUACAAGAAAGCUGCACUCAAGGCCUCCCCUAGAGGUGUCCUGGACAAAGCAUAGAGUACAUGAUGCAUCUUCCUCAUGAGGAUUCUUCUAGCAUCAUUACCACCCGACCUUACCACAGAGACUGCAAAGGGAAGGAGGACCCAGGUGUUCCUCACAAGAAUUCUUCUGGCAUUAGAUUUCUAGAUGGUCGCCUGAUAUGAACCCGCUAGGGUUGAUUCCCGAUCUUUCGAUGAGAGGCGUGGGAUAACUCGAUUGGUGGAUGGAGACGACGUUCACGGCCCGACUACAGCCUUCCAAGCUGCGCCUUAGCAACCGAUACACCACCUCCAAUGGCUGCCGCGAUCUUGUGGAGCGCGUCACCCGGCCACUAGGGCACUCGUCCUGCAAGCAAUCGAAGAACAAGCAAGAACAAGUAGAACAAGCAACUGAAUUGCAAAUAUAAAGAUGAAAACAAAUCUGAAAUCACAAAGUUGGGGUUCUGAAUCGAGUAGAACGGAUGGUCUAGUCGACACACGCGUCUACAAGGAAGUAGCAAUGGCUAAACUUUCAACAAAACAAAACCCAAUCUGUUCGUGGCGGAUCUAAUCCUUAUUAAUACCUAGGAGGACGACCAGGGGGGUGUUGGGGUCGUGCUCCAACCCUAGGACACGUCCCUAAUGGACCCAACUUGAUACACGGCCCAUCGGGCCAAAAUAGGGCGACGCAGCACCUGUGGACAGAAAACCUCUCGGUAGUAUUUCGAUGAUUGCGGCCGCCUCAGAAUAGAUAUGGACAUGAGUCCGGAUCCAUAUGAAAAUAGACUUCAUAAGGAUUCCAAGGAGUACUCGAACGCCCAAAACGGAGUCCGGAUGAGGUCGUGGCGGUCGUUGCAAGUUGGGCCAGAACUGUAGUCCGAAUCCAGCACCAAAACGUGUUGGAUUGGAGCUCUUUCUUUCCUUGGGCCAAAAGUGACGUGGUGGCCUGGUGGAGGACGUUAGGAAUACUUGGACUUGGCCCCCAAUCUACUUCUUUGGUCCUCCAUGCCUUCCAUGUGUGUUUAACACUAUUUUUGAUCCAUGUAUGUAUUUCUGAAAUUGACAACGAAUACACAUCAUGGUGCAGCAUCAAUUCAUCAAAUGUAUCACAUAUAAUUAUGAUAAAGAAUUGUUUCACCUCAGAGUCAAAAGAUGCCAAUAUGGUUGUAUCCGAGCAUGUGAUGUCCUCAUCAUUCUCCCCUUCUUGGCUGCAAGUCGUCCUCGACUUGCUCCAGUGGCAUUCUAAGGUGCUUGUUUUGAUGUUGGAGCACGGAGCGACGGCCAUGCUGCAUGGCCACAACCAGUAAUGCUCCCCUUCUUUGGUCUUACCCUGUUGCAUAUGGGAAAAACUAGAAAAACUUUGCAAGACAUUAGUAGUGUUAGUGCAGCCCUCUAUUUGAUCAUGGUAUUGUAGCCCAAAAGGAUAUUUCAGAGUGGAGCAAACAUAAACUUUAUGCACUAAAUAUUCUCCUUUGCUAUCAUAUUUGCCAAUUGCAUGAAGCGAACAAUGAUUAAAACUUGGCAAACCAGAACCAAAUUGAAGUUUCUCUUUUAGACAAUUUAGAUUACACAAAACAUCAAAUUCAAUGUAACCCAAAGUAUUUAAAGAGGAUAGCAAAUUCAGUUCAUCUUGUGCACAAGUAAUAGGAUGAAAAAGCUUAUCUUCAGCACAUUUGUAUGAUUCCAAACCAAAAGUAUCACACUUAUUCACUACUUGUGGUAUAGGAGUAAAAGAAUCAUCAGCACACAAGUCCUCUUUAUCACAACGAACAGCAAGUAAUUCAUUUUGUGACAAAGGAAAAUCAGCAAUGGGUUCCACUAUUUGUUGCUCUUCAUUAGCAUGGAGAGUGGACAAAUUUUGGAUAUAAUGGGUCACAUCAUUCUUGCAAGUAUUCACAGAUAAUAGAAUCUCCUUUUCAACAUUGAGAGCAAGGCAAAACAAUUGACCAAUAUGUAUGUAUGAUUUGCUUAGCAACAAGGUUUGAAUUUCAGAAUUGAGCCCUCUCAUGAACCUACACAUAACAUCUUCCAUGCACUCAUCUAAUCCACCAUACAUGAUACAAAUUUUAAAAUCAUGGAAGUAUUCUUUCACAGUCCUACUACCUUGCCUCAAGUUGUCUAAUUUUUCAAGCAAAUAAUUAGCAUAAUAUUCAGGAAUGAAUGCAUCUCUAAAAAGAAAUUUGAAGUCUUCCCAAGAUUCUAGAACUUUGUUGUGCCUACAAAUCGUUUCCAUUCAAGCAAAGCAUAUUCAGUCAAAACAUUAGAGGCAAUAUAAAUCUUUUGUUUCUCGGACAGGUCAUGCUCAUCAAAUUCAUUAUCUACUUUUAUCUCCCAAUCAAUGUAAGCUUUAGGAUCAAACUUACCAUCAUAUAACGGCAAGUGUUGAAUAACACUCUGAAUAUGAGAGUCUAGUUUCAUCAGCUCCAAAAUCUCCGUAUCACCUGCCAUGGUUAGUAGGAAACAAGAAACACAAAAAUAAUAUGUAUCCUCCUGUCAACUACUAUGAUAUGUUGGUUGUAAUUCUCUCAAACUCAACUUGUAAAAACAAGCCCUUACAAGUUCUUACCAAGCCAAACAGGAGGUGACGGCAACUAACAAGUCUACAACCGUGGAGUGAAGUGUAUCGGUGCCGCAGCAACAAAAAAAAACCUGUCAAGCUGUAGUCGAAUAUGUGGAGCUGUAGGUGGGCUUAAGCAAGGAAAUAUACUAGCACCACGUUAGUCACAAAAGCAAGUUGAGUAAUCAUUCAACGGUGGUACUGUGCUGGUCCUAGGCUAAACCAUGCUAGAGACGUGAGCCUAGGCACAAAGGUAGUCACUGAAAAGAGCAACUAGCACAGCACAAAGAAAACAACAGAUUCAGCCCCUUCUUUCUUCCCCUUGUCUUGUCUUUUUUUUUCUUCUUCUUCUUUUUUUUUCUUUCUCUUGUUUUUUUGUUUCUUUUUUUUUGCAGAGGCCUAAAUCUUUUAUUUGGUACUAUAACAACCCAAACAAUAAGGCUAUAGCACACAGCCCCUUCGUAUAUUAGAUUUAACAACUCUUGCUAAUACAGCAGAUGCGGAAAUCUCUAAGACGAUUGUGGAGCGCUCAGACUGAAUUUUGCUGCAAGGUCAGAUCCGUUGGAAAGAAGACAACUUCAAGUUUCCAGAUUGUAUUUAAACUCCUAAAUCGGACAUCAUAUGAAACCGUGGUGGCAGAAAUGAAGCGAUGAUGUAUAUGGUGAUGGUGGGUCUCGUGGUGACCAAAACGUGAUAGAACUCAAAACUCUAAAGGAAUAGACACUAAGACCAGCAACUCGACACAACCGAUGCAACCAAAAACUCAACAAGCCCUAACUAAGCAAUGCUAGCAAAGGCUCAAAGGGUUUAUAGGAUUACAGGUAAACUAAUCUACUAUCUUUUUUGUGCUUUUAUGAACUAUAGGUAAUUAAAAAACAGCAAGGAACUGGAAGUCUCUCACCGAUAAACCUGGCUCUGAUACCAACUGAUAUGAACCCGCUAGGGUUGAUUCCCGAUCUUUCGAUGAGAGGCGUGGGAUAACUCGAUUGGUGGAUGGAGACGACGUUCACGGCCCGACUACAGCCUUCCAAGCUGCGCCUUAGCAACCGAUACACCACCUCCAAUGGCUGCCGCGAUCUUGUGGAGCGCGUCACCCGGCCACUAGGGCACUCGUCCUGCAAGCAAUCGAAGAACAAGCAAGAACAAGUAGAACAAGCAACUGAAUUGCAAAUAUAAAGAUGAAAACAAAUCUGAAAUCACAAAGUUGGGGUUCUGAAUCGAGUAGAACGGAUGGUCUAGUCGACACACGCGUCUACAAGGAAGUAGCAAUGGCUAAACUUUCAACAAAACAAAACCCAAUCUGUUCGUGGUGGCUCUAAUUCUUAUUAAUACCUAGGAGGACGACCAGGGGGGUGUUGGGGUCGUGCUCCAACCCUAGGACACAUCCCUAAUGGACCCAACUUGAUACACGGCCCAUCGGGCCAAAAUAGGGCGACGCAGCACCUGUGGACAGAAAACCUCUCGGUAGUAUUUCAAUGAUUGCGGCCGCCUCAGAAUAGAUAUGGACAUGAGUCCGGAUCCAUAUGAAAAUAGACUUCAUAAGGAUUCCAAGGAGUACUCGAACGCCCAAAACGGAGUCCGGAUGAGGUCGUGGCGGUCGUUGCAAGUUGGGCCAGAACUGUAGUCCGAAUCCAGCACCAAAACGUGUUGGAUUGGAGCUCUUUCUUUCCUUGGGCCAAAAGUGACGUGGUGGCCUGGUGGAGGACGUUAGGAAUACUUAGACUUGGCCCCCAAUCUACUUCUUUGGUCCUCCAUGCCUUCCAUGUGUGUUUAACACUAUUUUUGAUCCAUGUAUGUAUUUCUGAAAUUGACAACGAAUACACAUCAUGGUGCAGCAUCAAUUCAUCAAAUGUAUCACAUAUAAUUAUGAUAAAGAAUUGUUUCACCUCAGAGUCAAAAGAUGCCAAUAUGGUUGUAUCCGAGCAUGUGAUGUCCUCAUCAUCGCCACUCCUAUCAAAAAGUACAAGCUUCAGGCCUACAAGCGCUAUUUCUUGAGCCAUGCCUCUCCAAGAUGAAUGGUGGGUCUAUUUAUAGCAGGGUUGCCGACUAGCAUCCAAGACGCUACAGUACACCCACGAAGACACACGACAGAGCCCCUCCAUACCACCGUGACUCUACAAUACCCACGUGACGACCAUGCCUUAUCUUCAAGUACUGGAGGAUAGCACUCUCCUGCAGUUGUUUUGACGAAGCAACACUCCCGUGAACAAAGACAUUUUUGUCACUUACCUAUCAUUGCUUCAGUCCUUAUCUUCAGAGAUUUGGGCACACAUUUUUGGUCGGCGGGCUUUUGUGGCUAUGCCUAUCCUUCGUGCUCAGGCACUAGGAUCAAUUUCAAGAUGAUAACUUUCCUUUUUCUUAACCAUUGGACUGAUUAUUCUAAUCACUUCAAUGCUUGGGGGCUACUCCUACGGAGUGCGUCUCGCGACGCCCUUCGUAACCUUCGCUUCGACUUACUAGAUGCCAACAUCCAUCAACUCGGUACUCGUCUACGCUCUACGCGUUGGCUCUGCGCUCGCUCGAAUUUUCUUCUUUUUUGAGUAUUGCGCAGCCUCUCAUCACCAUGACGCCUUCACAGCUUCAGCCAACCUCAUUUCAAGCUUCGCUGUGAUGACUUCAAGUUCCUAUUCACCAACACAUUGCUCGGGAGCUUGAGGGAUAUGGGUACCCCAGGUACCCCACGGGUCCCCACCGAUCAGGAUACUAGUUGGACCUGACAAGUGGGCCUGCCCGACUAGGACGUGCGGGCCGAGGUCAUGAAGUUACUUGGAGUAGACGUCAAGGCAACUAGACAAUCCAAAUCUACUCGAACAUCAUGGGACGCGUUUUGUAAUCCAACUUAGGUUGUUUUCCAUGUAAAUACUGAGUAGAUUAAAUUCAAACCGAUUUGUAACUCUUGGUCGCCAGACUAUAUAAGGCGACCAAGGGCGCCUCCUAGGGGCAACGGAGAACAGAACAUCAAUGGAGAUACAAGCAAUACAAUCCACACAUACAGGAUGUAGUGUAUUACUCUCCGGAGGUCUGAACCUGUCUAAAACCCUCGUGUCUCGUUCGUGUUCUCGCGAUUACCUUCCAGUUCUUGGUCUUGCCAUCACCCUCACCUACAAAUCAACCACUUGGGUAAACCCCUAGUGGAUUGCCGGGCUUAUAAAUCUGACAGGGAUUGCUCUAUCUCUGCCUUUGUGAACUUAUUGGAAAGCUAUCUUGCCUCUCUAAAUCCAAGUAUGUUUGAUUACAACACAUCUUCAGCUAAAGGAAAAUCUUCUGGGUUUGUUGACCCAUAUAAGACCCACCUAGACAGCAUGAAGAAGUCCCAGAAAACACCUCCUUGGAUGGCUCCUCCCCCUGGUUGGAUUAAACUUAAUGUGGAUGCUGGUUUGAUCUCAUCACCAUACAUGCUGGGCUUGGCUUCAUUGCUAGAGAUCAUUUGGGUGAAGUUAUUUUCUCUGGUUGGUCCAAUGAUCGGCUCUGCAAAUCUGCUGAAGAGGCCGAAUGUUUAGCUGCCUUAAUAGGAAUCUGUCGUGCUCUUUCUGUAUUCCAAGCCCCUAUGUGGUUGGAAUCAGAUUGUCUGGGAACAGUCGAAGCACUCAGAGUUACUUCUCCAAAUCUUUCUCCCAGUUGUUUUGUUAUUGAAGAAGUUAAAAGAAUCUUGCAUCUAUUCCAGGAUUCUAGACUUUCUUUUUGACAUUGCAGCGUAAAUGAGGUGGCUCAUGUGUUGGGCCAGAUAGGUAGGCGAGAGCUUUUUUCUAAUUUUAUUUCUAAAGGUGUUCGUCGGCAGCUUUAGAACGUGAUUGUAAUGCUUUAAUGUUAAAGUAAUAUAAGUCUCCCUACUUUCAAAAAAAAAGAAUCAUUAUAGUAUGCAUGAUAUGGAGAUUGUCUAGUUUUCAGUUUCUGAAACCAUCAGAAAACACACACCACACACACAAUGGACCAUCACCGGGGUGUAGAUCCCUCCCAUUCCUCCGGCCACCUCCCUGCCCGCACUCACCAUCGCGCUCCCUCGGGGUCAUGGUCAGAGGUUGGGGCCGCGUCAUCAUCUUCCUACGGCGGCAGCGGUGCCAGGUACACCUUCACUUCCCUGUCGCCCCUCCACAUGGCAGCCGCGAUCGAUGAUGUCUCGCCCCCAUGCGCCGUCGUCGCCCACUAGCCCGAUAGGGGCGACCGCCCACCAACCCGAUAGGGGCGACACGGCCACCGCAGGUACAUCUACUCCCUAUGCUCUCUACGUUCUGUUGCCCAAUGUCUUGAGCUGAAAGAUGAGGUCGCGAAGCACCAGCUAGUUGUGGUCUCCCAUGGAACUACCCGUCGUGGAUCCAACUCUACUUACGCCCUCUGCAUUGCCGACAUGGCCCCGGGCCUCGUUGGCUCCUCGCUCGUCCACACCUGCUUCACUUCGGUGCCACCGGCCUCGCCCACACCACAGUAUAUUCGAUGUAAUGCCACAGUAGAGGGUCGUUGGCUGGAGCGCUCAUUGAGGCCACAUGGCAUGCAACAACGUCGACUCGUCAAGGCGUGUGGCACUAAUGACUAAUCGCGACCAUGUGCUGGCUAUUCUCCUCUCUCCAUCGUUCUGCUGUCUAUUCUUCUCUCCCCGAAUCCCCUUAUCCUUGUUGUCAUGUGAAGUUAGAACUGGCAGUUUCAACAGGCACACAACAUCAAGUCAAUGUGGGAGGAAGAGCUCUUCCUAGGCCAAGCAGGAGCGGUGCAAGAGAAAGGUUCUUGGCAUCCCAUGGUGCAAGAGAAAGGUUCUUGGCAUCCAGUUCAUCAGUUCAUGUGUUUGCUCAUUAUCUAUUAUCUAAAAAAUGCCAUGUGUUUGGUGAGGUAAUUAACCAACGAAGAUUACCGUGGCCAGCCCCAAGGGUUGGGGAUUUGGGAGGGUGAUGGGUCGCAGCGGUAGCAACAUAAGCAGGUAUGGUGUCAGACACUAUUGGUGUGUUUGGUUUGAGGAAUCACUGCACCUCAUCUUAGAUGAGAUUGAUCAUCAUGAGUUGACCCUAUAAAAUUUAGUGGGAUGACCCCAUUCUUCAUGGUUAUACUAUUUAUCAGUUUGUGAGGGAUAAGAUGGUGGAGGAUCAACUCAUUUCAUUCCACAAACCAAAUAAAAAAGUGAGAAGUGAGAAGAUGAGAUAUGACUCCAUUCCUCAAACCAAACACCUCAUAUACUUAAUCCAUAUACACAAUAAUUCGUUCAGUACUUUUGUUUGUUUGGUACUCAAGGAUCCAUUCAUUAGGGCUUGUUGGAUCCCUUUGCUAAAGUUUAGCAACUAAAAUUUACUAAACUUUAGUUACUAAACUUUAGCAAAGGCUGUUUGGAUACCCUUACUAAACUUUUAAGGCUGUUUGCUAAACUAAAAUUUGCUAAAAAGACCUAUGUACUCUUAUUAAAGGUACUCUUCCUUUCCUCUCUCCUCCCACCUCCCUCCUCCCUCCCGCCCAUCCGGUGGCCAGCGAGCACACCCACGAGCCUUGGCUCGCCGCCGUCGCCUGCGCCCCACCGCCAGCACGUGACGAGCCCAUUUGAGGAGCCCACGUACACGGCGCGGGCCUCGGGGCAAGCGGCGACCGCGGUUACCGCGUCAUCGCCCUCCCGGAGCACCCGCUCUAGGAUGUGCCUCGUCCGGUCGUCGUUGGCCACCGCUGCCUCCCGACACCACACCUUAACGGUGCCGUCGGCGGAGCCGGUGAGGACGAGGCUGCCGAACCCAGCCGCGGCGACGGUGUUGACGGCCGGAGCCACACCGCGCGGCGGCACCGCCCACCGCCCCUCCCGCCCUUUGCGAUGUAGCUGGACGGGUUGACGGAACGGAUCCGGUGGUGAAGGUGGCGGGGAUGGCGGAUCCGGUGGUGAAGGGGGCGGGGAUGGCGGAUCCGGUGGGGAAGGCGGCGAGGACGGCGGAUCCGGUGGGAGACGGUGGUGAUGGCGGAUCCGGGGGAAGAACAGCGACGGGGAUGGCACAGGGAGGGUGGUGCGGCGGGGAUGGGAGCACGAACCGGCGGCGGGGGUGGCCUGGAAAAGCCGACGGUGGCGGCGGAUUCUUGAGGAGGGUGCGGCUGCGGCUGGGGAAGAAGCUGAGUAUGCGGGUACGGGUGCCGCUGCCGCUGGGGAGAGAGAAAACUGGACAAUAAAAGAGGGGCAAAGGGUGUCCACCCUACCUUUUAGCAAGUUUUAGCAACCAAAAACUUGCUAAAGUGCUAAACUUUAGCAGCUCAACUUUAGCAACUUUUAGCUGCUAAACUAACUUUAGCAACUUUUAGCAAGGGUGUUUGGUAUCAAACACCCCCUUAGUCAUAAAUCUUGUAUUGAUCUUUCCUGAACGCACUGAGAUCUAACAGUGGUAACAUGCAGCGAUAAAAUGCUACUCCGUUAUUUUUUGCAAUCCUAUAAGUUGGAACGAUCUUCUUUGAGUAAAUAUUGACAGCAUUGCUCCGUGUACUGGGUAGCUCUUUCUGUGAAUUCUUUCUUUCAAGUCUUCGUUCACGGGUAGUACUGAUGAUGUUUCUUUCAGAAAGAACUGAAUAGCUGCAGUUUCUUUUGACUAAUAAAUUGCUUUGGCAAAGAUCUGAAGGGCAGUGGCGAGGAGGAGGAAGGAGGCAUUGGCUUAGCUUGACAUUGGUGUUUACUUUGAAAUCUAUUACACGAAUAUUUAAAUCUGUGCAAAAGUAUGCAAAAUAUAAUUCGUGCAAAAGAAUUAUUCAGGUAUGAAAUACUAUUUCUACCUUGUAAUCAAUGUAAAGAGAAUGGGAUGUACCUUAAAAGCUAAUUUAAAAUUAUUUUGAAAUCUCAUUUACAUGAAUAAAUCUUGUUCUCGAAUUUAUAUAUAUAAAUUUUUUUUACUUUUUUGGAAACACGUGCAUGCCAGAAAUUAAAUGAAUGAUUCACUUCCAACCGGACAAUUCGAUUCAGCACUUCCAAUUCGGAGAACCAAAUGGACUUGAAUGAAAUGGGUCAGGCCUUACCCAACGCGACCACCUUGGGCUUCGUCGGCCUAUUUCUUAAUAUAAGAAAGCCUUUAACAAUUGAGAAGGAAAGCCCCCCUGUCGGCCAGGGAUGGCCCGGCCCGGUCAGCACCGCUAAAGCGCGUGACUCGGAACCGUCGGAUGGUUUCCUUAAGAACCCUAGCUCCCCAUCCUCCUUCCCCUCCCCUUUCCCUUUCGAUUACGGCGGCGCCGCCAUCGCAUCACCUCCAUCGCAUCUCGCCCUCCUCCAUGGCUAGCAUCUCGCUCUCCAACUGCGUCCUCCUCCACGCCGAUGGCUUCCACGGCAACUUCUUACUCCGUAACGCCACCACCGCCAUGGCCUUCACCAGUCGGGGGACCAGCAUCGCGGCAUCCUUAAGCUGCCCCGAGCGUCCGCUGCUCCCCACAAUCCUCUUUGUGGAAUGCUCGGGCGUUGACUUCACCAGCGAGCCCCCACGCAUCGUCCGCGCGGUUGAAAACAUCAUCCUCUUCAGCGUUCUCAUCGGCCCUCGCCUCCCAGACCUCUCGCCGUGCGACUACGACUACUUCGUCUACCGGGUCGGGGAGGUUCCGUCGCUUCAGCGGCUGCCGUCCCCGCUUCCCACCUUCCAAGACGAGGAUGCAGGCCUCCUUCUCUGCGGGGACGACGACUUCAUCGUCGCCGCGUUGAUAGCUACAAACAAAUCUGGCGUGUACGAUCUCCACCGCUUCGACUCCAGGACUUGGACCUGGAGCCAGGAGGUGGUGCCAUUGGUGGCGCCGCAGGCUGCGUUCCCCUUCAAGAUCACCAUGAACUCAAUCCGGCUUGGUUACCAUCUCACGUCCACCGUAAUCACCAUCGGAGGCGAAGGUGGCACGAUGGGCUGGGUCGAUCUCUGGCGUGGCAUCCUGAUCUGCGACGUGCUCCACCGGAAGCCCGAGCUCCGUGGUGUGCCCCUGCCGGUGCCGAUGGACCUGCUGACAUGCAACAAUGGUCGGGGGGCUGACAUAGGAGGCUGCGGAAAAUCCCUCCGCGGGAUUGCCGUCAUCAAUCAAAGCCUCAGGUUUGUUCAUUUGGAAGCCAUCGUCUCCACCACCUUCAAGACUCUGCCUACCGAUAGCGACAGCGAUGAAGAAACAGCCGUUCCUCACUCACUCAUGUCUGACUGGGUGAUCACGACAUGGAGCAACUCCAAGAUGAGUACCUCGUGGGAUGACUGGAUCAAGGACUGCGAGGCCAAAGCAUCGCACACCACGAUCCAGAGCAAGCCCAAGUCAAAGAUGCUCAACUCUGGAUUGCUGUCACCUGAAGGAGCAAAUCAAGUGCGAGCCUUGCAGAACCUCUGGGUGUCCCACCCAGCUCCUGGCAUCAAUGAUGAUGUCGUUUACUUGCUUGCCAGAGUCAGAUUCCGGGACCCGAAGGCAUUCGUUAUCGCUCUUGAUGCGAGGAAGAAUGUUCUGCUAGGCUCAGCUGAGUUUGCCACUGAAAAGAAACGCGGUGAUGGCGUCAUGUAUUUCCCAAGUAACAUCUCAAAGUAUAUCGCCCCAGAGGCUAGGGUUCUUCCUAUUACCAAAGGUACUGCUCUAAUUAAGUAUUGCAGCUGCAAAUUAAAUCCUGCUCCAAGAUAUGGGAGUGGGUCUACAAAGAUGAGCUCUAAAUUAAUGAGAAUACCUGAUCACUGAACCAUAGCCUGUGUCAGUCCACUGCAUAUUUCAGUUAGCUUGCAUUGAUUCGAUAUGCCCAUAGUUUCUUUUUGGGUUUUUUCACAUGCUUGGCUGUGGAUAAUUAUCCGCUGUAAUUAGUCACUUUGAUUUCUAUUGCAAUUAUAGAUUUGGGGAAAAACGGGUAGAAACAUAGCUAGGAUCAUCUCAUCGGCCGGGCGGUUAGUGGGGGGAUUGGGGUGUUGGUGGAGUUAAAACCUGCCCGUCGCACUUUUGCCUAACGGGCGAAAUCCUUCACCCUGCACCCACGGGUGGUUUUUUGAACCCGUACCCAUCCCGGUGAGGUUUGAGUUGGAUUAGCAUCCCUGUUAGUUAGAACAGAUAGAGCACCUUGCAUUUCAAACACACAUGGGUGAAACCACAGCACCGUACCAGCACUUGCAGGGUGGAAUUUUACACCUGCAAGCGUGGGUUGUGUGUUGGUCUGUUGUUACAAAAUGGGGGCAUUUGAAGUUUUUCCAUCUUACUAUAACAAAUGAACAGGCGACCAGAGUUUUACUAGCAGAUGCGAUGGGGAAGGUAAAGCAUAAGCAUCAAGUAUUAAACUAUUUAUGCUGUCUCACUGGAUGCUGUUACAGGUGAUGAAGAUGGCUGGGAGGAAUCAAGCCUGCAUGAAGGCACAGAAAAUGUGGAGUUUCCUAGUUUACCAUUCGCUUACCCUGGCUUGAUUGUAUGAUGCAUCAGUGCUCGAGCUGGUUUGAUGAUCUCAUGCCGUUUAUGACAUGAGUACAUAUCUGCUGCAGGGCCCUGUUUGUUUGCCCCUCAAGUCAAGGUUAUGUAAUCUAGCUAUUAAGCUGUGUGCUGUUUGACAAUCUAGAUUAUCGGUGGUUUGGAUUAUUUAGUUUUGAUGAAUUAUUAUCAUCUGCUUAUACCGCUGCUUGCUGUGCUACAGUUUAGCUUGUCACUGCUCGGUGCUGCCGAUCAAUGCUCACUGUGCUUGCUAGCUACUGCCGUUCAAGUACGUACUGCAUGCGCACAGAAAAUUCUAUGGUGUUCUAGAUUCAAAAAAAGUGGCAAGCAACGACAUUAGUACUUGUUUCCUUGUAUCUAUGCGUUGCUGUACCUUUGCUUUUUAAUAUAAUAUUAAAAUGUUUCAUUGGCACCUGCACAUAUUUUUCUGGUAAAAAUGUGUAAUAGUAAACACCAAGCUAGCAAAUGUCGAAGAGAUGCUCGUAUUUUCAAUUAAUUAUUUUUACAUUGUUAAUGUCCGUUGACUCCGUUAGUCUUGGAACAGCCCACACGAAUCGACUACGGCAUACGGCCCGCCAAAGUUACUCUAAAAAAAUAUCAUCGGAUUAACAUCACUUGUCAACAAAUAGAGACACCAUAAGAUUUCAGGAAUGGAGCACUUAAAGAGAAUGUGCAAUGUGAGACCAGUUCACCGUUACCUUUAAGUAAAGAAGAACAUGCUCAACAAAGUGCUGCUUUCCCAUUUAUCACGGACGAAUUGAUCGGACACAUCGUUUCUGUAACUGUAUACUUGUAAGAAUGGUUCAAGCGUUCUGCUGCACGGCACCG
rnacentral:lncRNA from 1 species